rnacentral:lncRNA from 1 species
ACAGCAUGAACCAUGGAGCAAACAUAGUGCCAGGGCAAAGAGAGAAGACCAGAGGAAGAGAGAUACGGGAGUUGUUUGCUUCAGACCAUUUUUUUCUUAGACCACACACAAAUAUGUGUAUCAUCGAAUAGAGGAUGCUAUUAGAGGACCUCUAACUUCGGUAGCUACCAGUGAAAAUCAUAGUUCGUGGGCAUGAGAGGUGUCAGGAACCCGAUCAUUACACGAGCGUCCUGUUCCCUGUACUAACUAGCAAAUCGUGGUCUCGUAAGAUGCUUGGUUGUGGCAAAAUUCAUGGUUUUGAUCCUUUUUCUAAAGUUACAGUGGAUCUGAUCCCGUUUGGAAACUUUUUUCGGAUCUGACACUUUUACUAUCAUCAAACCCUUUUACGGUAGGAUAUGACAACCUACGGCCAAGGUCUCUAGCGGUAGGCAAAUGGCAUACCGUCAAAAGAUCUGAUGGUAGCAUGUAUAAUCCUACCGUCAAGGGAUGCGACGGUAGGCACGGACGCGUACUGUGUGUGUAACUUUUUUUUUUUUACGGUAAACGUGCAAUUCUACCAUCAGUGAUCUCGGCGGUAUGUUGUUAUACCCUACCGUUGGGUCAUCCGGCGGUAGCAAAAGAAACAGAUUCAAAAAAUAUUUUUAAACGGAUUAUCCAACUUAACUUUAAGAAAAAGUCAAAAUAAUAAAUUUUGCCUUUUGUUGUUGGCUCCUUACCUGUUACCUGUUGCUGUAGCCGGCAGGAGACCCGACGUUGGAGCCUCGCAGACCAAUCAUGCUCACACGGUGAGUGACUCACCUGGCUGCACAAUGGCCCAGAGAAGCAGGGGCAUCGGACAGUGGAGCAAGGGCGAGUGAGGAAAACAGCAUUUUUGUAAUGGCCUACAGUCCUGCAUCACUAAAUUAACAAUGAUAGCUUGUUAGACUAAGCUAGUUGGAUACUUGGCCGUUUAAGUUCAGGUUUUCUUUCUCUGUCCAAAUAAUGCGUGUGCACGGUGGAUGUGACCUGCGCAUGCACGCAGUAGUGGGGUGGAGUGCUUGCACGCACGUCCCUUCACUGGUUUUUUUUUUCUUUCUUCCCUAGUUUCUCUCCCGGUGGAACUUAGUCACUGUGUGAUGUGGUCGUGGGAUGGCGCGACCAUCGCGGAUCAUAGCGAUCCCGCCGGGAGGUAGUUAGCUGGGGCUUCGGUUGUAACUGAAUAACAAGAACAUAAUAGUAGAUCGAAAGAGCUGCGAAGUUAGGCAGCGCAAAAAACUCUCUCUCUUUCUUGCCAGAGUUCAUCUCUCUCUUGCUCGAUUCAACAACAACAAUUGGUAUCAGAGCCCGGGGUGUUCGAUCCUUGGAGCGGCGGCGGUGUGUGAUUCGUCGCGGUCAUGUCUGACGACGAGUCGAAAGGGAAGAACAAGAGCAGGGCGAGGUCGUCGUCCAAGGCGCCGCUAGCGCGUCUGAGCGACGGGGGCGGCGGCGAGUACCUCGUUGUGGAACACGUCGUGCGAGAGGAGUCGGGGGCAUCCAUGAUGCUCAUGCGCACGAACUACGAGGAGUGGGCGAUGGUGAUGCAAGUCAAGUUGCAAGUAGCUCGUGUCUGGUCCACAGUGACCGAUGACGCCGCCGACGAUAAUGACAAUCGGCGCGCACUGCAGAUCAUUCUUACCGGCGUCCCGCUGUGCUGGCGGCAAAAUACACGGCCAGGACGGCGUGGGAGGACAUCCGGACCAUGCAGAUGGGCAGCGAGCGUGCGCGAGAGGCCAAGGCGCAAGUGCGGCGGCGGGAGUUCGAGGAUUUCGUUUCAAGGACGGUGAGUCCAUCGAGGACUUCGGGUUGCGCCUCUCUGCCCUCGUCGCCGAUCUAGAGUUGUACGGCGACCUAGUCUCCGAGCACAAGGAGGUCCAGAAGUUUCUCCGUGUGGUGCCGCGGCGAUACCGCCCAAUGGCCAUGGCGAUCGAGUCUCUGAUCGAUCUGAAGACCAUGACGGUCGAGGAACUUGUCGGGCGUCUCUCUGCUUGCGAAGAUCAUUAUGAGCUCGACGACGACAAACAAUCCGCUGCACACCUUCUCCUCACUCAUGAGGAGUGGCUGGCCCGCGAGAGGACGGGCGGCAGCAGCGGAUCAUCGACGGGCGGUGGCGGCGGCGGCAAGAACAAAUCACCCACUAAACCCAAGGGUCCAGGCGGCUACAAGUCCGCCCCGGGGAACCAGGGGGCGGGCGGAUCGGGUGGCAAGAAGAAGAAAGGGAAGUGCCACCAUUGUGGCAUCCCGGGGCACUCGAAAAAGGAGUGCCGGACAUGGCUACGCGAGAAGGAGAGAAAAGGGCAGCAGGAGCAUGCCAACCUGGCUCAAGGCGGCGAUGAGCACGAAUAGGGCCUGCUCAUGGCCAUGGUCACCGACGUCGUCACUUCCAACGCCACCACGACACAAGAGGUUUACCUGAACGAGGAAAAGGUGGUUCCCGCGUCCUCCCCCGACGGUGUCCGGUUCUUCGACACUGGAGCGAGCAGCCAUAUGAUCGGGUAUCGGCGGGCGUUCGCGUCCCUGGACGAGUCUGUACAUGGGACAGUCAAGUUUUGAGAUGGCUCGCUGGUAUCAAUCAAGGGGCGUCGGUCAGUCGUUUUCCAUCGCAGCAGCAGGNNNNNNNNNNNNNNNNNNNNNNNNNNNNNNNNNNNNNNNNNNNNNNNNNNNNNNNNNNNNNNNNNNNNNNNNNNNNNNNNNNNNNNNNNNNNNNNNNNNNNNNNNNNNNNNNNGCAGGAAUCAGUGCGCGCUCACAGGGAUCUUCUUCAUCCCCGCGCUGCGCAGGAACAUUGUCUCAGUGGGACAGCUGGAUGAGGCAGGCUGCAUCAUCACCAUAUGGACGGGGUCAUGGCCAUCAGGGACCCCUCAAGGCACAUGCUGGCAUGCAUCAUGCGAUCGGGCAACCGUCUCUACACUGAUGUGCUCACCAUUGAUGCCCCGGCAUGCCUCAUGGCACAAGGCAACGACGCAUCGUGGCGAUGGCACGCAUGCAUGGGACACCUUCACUUCCGCGCUCUCCGGACCAUGUCCACCAAGAAGCUCGUGCGUGGGAUGCCCGUCAUCGACCGGGUUGAACACUACUGCGAUGGGUGCGCUCUUGGGAAACAACAUCGCGCCCCGUUCCCACAGACCACAGCAUACCGCGCAGGGCGUGCUCUGGAGCUAGUACACACUGAUCUGUGCGGGCCGAUCACUCCGACGACACCAGGUGGGAAUAAAUACUUCCUGUUGAUCGUUGAUGACUACAUCCGCUACAUGUGGAUCGAGUUGUCACGGUCCAAAUACGAGGCGUACGAGCGCUUCAAGAAAAUGCAGGUCAUGGCCGAGGCAGAUGGCAGGUAUAGGCUGAUAACCCACAAGUAUNNNNNNNNNNNNNNNNNNNNNNNNNNNNNNNNNNNNNNNNNNNNNNNNNNNNNNNNNNNNNNNNNNNNNNNNNNNNNNNNNNNNNNNNNNNNNNNNNNNNAUUAAAUAACAUUUAAUAGAGUGAUAUAACAAGGAAACCAUGUUUUCACAUGGAAGCAACUGCACCUGCAACUAGCAACGCUAACACAUGGUUAAGCAAGCGGUAACAUAGCCAAUAAGUGGUUUGCUAGGUUGUGAACAUAUUGAAGGUUUUCAUGGCAUUGUUGAGAGGCUGAUAUUCAACAUGUGGUAGGCAACGAGACAUAGCGACAGAAACGAUAAUACUAGCAUGUCAAUGAUAGUAAUGGUAUCUGGGGAAAUGGUCAUCUUCCCUGAGAUCCCGCUUGGAAGAAGAAUGACUCCGUGAAGCAGACGAACCGAUGUAGUCGAACGGGUCCUCACUUUCUGACACGCUUGCGGAACUCUAUCGAGACGAAGGAAACCGGAAACAAGCAUCAACACACGAUAUUCACCACGGCAUAUGCACGACAAGAUGCAAUCCACAUAUGAUGCAUGAGCAGCUAAAAAUAAAUGCAAGACAUAGCAUGACAAUUCACACAAUCAGACACUACACAUUAAGUGAAGUUCAAUAUGCAACGAGUUGCAUAUUGACGAAACUCCACAUACGAAUUAUUUAAUUUCAUCCCGGUCAGGUACACGGCAAUAUUAAAUGUGGUUAAACAUGGCAAGAGGUGAGGCGUAAUUAAACUACCUAUCUAGGCAUUUUAAAUGAGGUCGGAAAUGACAUAUAGCACCUCCGAGGCGACCUCACAUGUUAAUUUAUAAUUCAGUCCAGAUCUGAACUAACACGUUUAAAUGUUUGUUAAACAGCAAAACAAAUAGGUUCACAUGAUUCUACGUGUCGUUACAUGCAAUUUACACAUAGAGAACAUCUCCAACGGAGCUACGGAGGAAAAGAUACGAACACCGCUAGAUAUGAUGACAUGAAUGCAAUAUGUGAGCAAAUGACAUCCACAACACUUCAAAACAUACAACCAGCAAGAUAAUAAGAAACUACACGAUAUUCUAAGCAAGUUUCAUAUAGGACACGAUCAAACGGAGCAACGGUUCAACAACUACGAGCUAAACAAGAAAUCACCACAAUCUGCCAAAAUCAGCCACAUAGUAUUUUCUACACCCCACAACUAUGAGCUACACAAAUCCAAUAUACUCAACCAAGGCAUGAGACGAUAGAGGGCAAUAUGCACUACCACAGGCAACUUAUAACACCUANNNNNNNNNNNNNNNNNNNNNNNNNNNNNNNNNNNNNNNNNNNNNNNNNNNNNNNNNNNNNNNNNNNNNNNNNNNNNNNNNNNNNNNNNNNNNNNNNNNNUUUGUCACUCCGUGUGAUGGAGAGGUAUCUCGGGGCCCACUCGGUAAUACAACAUCACACACAAGCCUUGCAAGCAAUGUGACUUAGUGUAAAUUACGGGAUCUUGUAUUAAGGAACGAGUAAAGAGACUUGCCGGUAAACGAGAUUGAAAUAGGUAUGCGGAUACUAACGAUCGAAUCUCGGGCAAGUAACAUACCGAAGGACAAAGGGAAUGACAUACGUGAUUAUAUGAAUCCUUGNNNNNNNNNNNNNNNNNNNNNNNNNNNNNNNNNNNNNNNNNNNNNNNNNNNNNNNNNNNNNNNNNNNNNNNNNNNNNNNNNNNNNNNNNNNNNNNNNNNNNNNNNNNNNNNNNNNNNNNNNNNNNNNNNNNNNNNNNNNNNNNNNNNNNNNNNNNNNNNNNNNNNNNNNNNNNNNNNNNNNNNNNNNNNNNNNNNNNNNNNNNNNNNNNNNNNNNNNNNNNNNNNNNNNNNNNNNNNNNNNNNCGCAGGGUCUGCACACUGCGUAUUUGAGUUAUAUGGUUGGUUACCAAAUGUUGUUCGGAGUCCCGGAUGAGAUCACGGACGUCACGAGGGUUUCCGGAAUGGUCCGGAAACGAAGAUUGAUAUAUAGGAUGACCUCAUUUGAUUACCGGAAGGUUUUCGGAGUUAUCGGGAAUGUACCGGGAAUGACGAAUGGGUUCCGGGAGUUCACCGGGGGGGCCCACCCACCCCGGGGAAGCCCAUGGGUGUUUGGGGUGCCGCACCAGCCCUUAGUGGGCUGGUGAGACAGCCCAAGAGAGGCCUAUGCUCAUAAGAAAGAAAAUAAAAGAGGAAAGAAAGAAAAAAAAAGAAGGAGGUGGGAAAGGGAAGAAGGACUCCACCUUCCAAACCAAGUAGAUUUCGGUUUGGGAAGGGGAGACCUUCCCCCUUGGCUCGGCCGACUCCCUUGGGAGUCCUUGGACCCCAAGGCAAGUCUCCCCCCUCCUCCUCCUAUAUAUAGUGGGGUUUUAGGGCUGAUUUNNNNNNNNNNNNNNNNNNNNNNNNNNNNNNNNNNNNNNNNNNNNNNNNNNNNNNNNNNNNNNNNNNNNNNNNNNNNNNNNNNNNNNNNNNNNNNNNNNNNCUCCAUUCCUUUUUUCACGAAUAUGCCUAGAUAGUGUAUCUUUGCAUUGAUAGAAGGGGAAAAAGGUACAGGGUGAUGCCAUGGACGCGUGCGCUAGAAGACACGUUCAUGGCGAUCGAGUGAGCAAGGGGGGAGAAGUGGGGUUGCUCAUCCCCUUACAUGGUUUCAAGUUACACGCGUAAGGCUAGCUAGUCCUUUGGCUCCGGCAAAUGCGAGGGGCGGGCUUUGUCCUUAAUCGAAGCGAUCACUGCGAAGGUAGAGGGGGGAUCCCGUUGAAGGUGAUUGCGUUGCGAUGGUGCCAUAGAGCCCAUGCAACUGAGACAGUAAUGGUCGUGAGUCCUCGGUGCUUGGUCACAGGUAGCGUUACAUGCGCGGUGAUGAGCCAACCAAAGUAGCCGUCAGACCCGUUCGGCGGGGGGGGNNNNNNNNNNNNNNNNNNNNNNNNNNNNNNNNNNNNNNNNNNNNNNNNNNNNNNNNNNNNNNNNNNNNNNNNNNNNNNNNNNNNNNNNNNNNNNNNNNNNNNNNNNNNNNNNNNNNNNNNNNNNNNNNNGGGUGCUAGGGGUGCACCAGGCCAAGAUCUCAUACCACACAACCCGCGCGAAGACGCACCCGAUCAAGUUAUGUUGCAGAGUUUCCGGCUCCUCCAAGCAAAGGACGCAAGCUAGUUCUUCUCAACAUUCAUUUAGGUACAAAGGAAGUGGUAUCUUGAAAACUCCAUUGUAUUUAGCUGUUGAGAAUCACUUUGACUAUUCAGAGUUUUAUACUCGCUUAAUGAUUAUUUGAAGGAAAGAAAAAUAUAACUUUUUUAAUUAGAAUUUACUAGUAAAUGCAUCCUACGGACGAACAAGAGAAUCAGUAACAUUCAUUUUAGUUUUAGUACUAGUAGAUCUUUCACAUUCAUUUAGUAAUUGUAAAUGUGCAUCCAUCGAACCAGGUUAUAAAAUGACGGCAUGGACCGUGGAGCANNNNNNNNNNNNNNNNNNNNNNNNNNNNNNNNNNNNNNNNNNNNNNNNNNNNNNNNNNNNNNNNNNNNNNNNNNNNNNNNNNNNNNNNNNNNNNNNNNNNUGCGACGUUCCCCAACAGUGGCAUCAUGAGCUAGGUUCAUGCGUAGAUGUCUUCUCGAGUAGAAGACAAAAGGUUUUGUGGGCGGUGAUGUGCGUUUUUCUGCCCUCCUUAGUCUUUUCUUGAUUCCGCGGUAUUGUUGGAUUGAAGCGGCUUGGACCGACAUUACUCGUACGCUUACGAGAGACUGGUUUCAUCGUUACGAGUAACCCCCUUUGCUCAAAGAUGACUGGCAAGUGACGGUUUCUCCAACUUUAGUUGAAUCGGAUUUGACCAAGGAGGUCCUUGGAUGAGGUUAAAUAGCAACUCAUAUAUCUCCGUUGUGGUGUUUGCGUAAGUAAGAUGCGAUCCUACUAGAUACCCCCGGUCACCACGUAAAACUUGCAACAACAAAAUUAGAGGACGUCUAACUUGUUUUUGCAGGGUAUGCUUGUGAUGUGAUAUGGCCAACGAUGUGAUGUGAUAUAUUGGAUGUAUGAGAUGAUCAUGUUGUAAUAUAAAUAUCGACUUGCACGUCGAUGGUACGGCAACCGGCAGGAGCCAUAGGGUUGUCUUUAUAACUAACGUUUGUGCUUGCAGAUGCGUUUACUAUUUUGCUAGGACGUAGCUUUAGUAGUAAUAGCAUGAGUAGCACGACAACCCCGAUGGCGACAUGUUGAUGGAGAUCAUGAUGAUGGAAAUCAUGGUGUGACGCCGGUGACAAGAAGAUCGUGCCGGUGUUUUGGCGAUGGAGAUCAAGAAGCACGUGAUGAUGGCCAUAUCAUGUCACUUAUGAAUUGCAUGUGAUGUUAAUCCUUUUAUGCACCUUAUUUUGCUUAGAACGACGGUAGCAUUAUGAGGUGAUCUCUCACUAAAAUUUCAAGACGAAAUUGUGUUCUCCCCGACUGUGCACCGUUGCUACAGUUCUUCGUUUCGAGACACCACGUGAUGAUCGGGUGUGAUAGACUCAACGUUCACAUACAACGGGUGCAAAACAGUUGCGCACACGGAACACUCGGGUUAAGCUUGACGAGCCUAGCAUGUGCAGACAUGGCCUCGGAACACAUGAGACCGAAAGGUCGAGCAUGAAUUGUAUAGUUGAUAUGAUUAGCAUAGAGAUGCUUACCACUGAAACUAUUCUCGACUCACGUGAUGAUCGGACUUGAGAUAGUGGAUUUGGAUCAUGUACCACUCAAAUGACUAGAGAGAUGUACUUUUUGAGUGGGAGUUCUUAAGUAAUAUGAUUAAUUGAACUAAUUGUCAUGAACAUAGUCUAAUGGUAUUUGCGAAUUACGAUGUAGCUUGCGCUAUAGCUCUACUGUUUUUAUAUGUUCCUAGAGAAAAUUUAGUUGAAAGUUGAUAGUAGCAAACUUUGCAGACUGAGUCUGUAAAACCGAGGAUUGUCCUCGUUGCUGCACAGAAGGCUUAUGUCCUUAAUGCACCACUCGGUGUGCUGCACCUCGAGCGUCGUCUGUGGAUGCUGUGAACAUCCGACAUACACGUUUCUGAUUACUACACAAUAGUUCAGUGCAAGAUACUUAAUGGCUUAGAAGCAAGGCGCCGAAAACGUUGUAAAAACGUCACGGAACAUAAGUGAUGUUCUAAAGAGAUGAAAUUGUGAUUUCAUGCUUGUGCCCUUGUUAAGAGGUACGAGACCUCCAACAAGAUUCUUUGUCCACAAAGUAAAAGAGAAAAGCUCAAUCGAUGAGCGUGUGCUCAGAUUGUUUGAGUACGACAAUCACUUGAAUCAAGUGGGAGUUAAUCUUCCAGAUGAGAUGGUGAUGGUUCUCCAAAAGACACUGCCACCAAGCUGUGAGAGCUUCGUGAUGAACUAUAACAUAUUGAGGAUAGAUACAAUGAUCCUUGAGCGAUUCGUGAUGUUUGACACUGCGAAAGUAGAAAUCAAGAAGGAGCGUCAAUAGUUGAUGGUUUGUAAAACCACUAAGUUUCAAGAAAGGCAAGGGCUAGAAGGGAUACUUCGUGAAACGGCAAAACAGUUGCUGCACUAAUGAAGAGACCCAAUAUUAAACCCAAACCCGAGACUAAGUGCUUCCGUAAUGAGGGGAACAAUCACUGAGGCGGAGCAACUCAAGAUACUUGAUAGAUAAGAUGGCUGGGAAAAGUCGAAAGAAGUGUAUUUGAUAUACAUGAUGUUGAUGUGUACUUUACUAGUACUCCUAGUAGCACGAGGGUAUUGGAUACCAGUUCAGUUGCUAAGUGAUUAGUGACGCGAAAUGAAAGCUACGGCAUAAACGGAGACUAGCUAAAGGCGAGGUGACGAUACGUGUUGGAAGUGUUUCCAAGAUUGAUAUGAUCAAACGUCGCACGCUCCCUCUAUCAUCGGGAUUGGUGUUAAACCUAAAUAAUUGUUAUUUCGUGCUUGCGUUAAACAUGAACAUGAUUGGAUCGUGUUUAUUGCAAUACGAUUAUUCAUUUAAAGAGAAUAAUGGUUACUCUAUUUUCUUGAAUAAUCACCUUCAAUGGUUUAUUGAAUCUCGAUCGUAGUGUUACACAUGUUCAUGAUAUUGGUGCCAAAAGAUACGAGUUGAUGAUGAUAGUACCACUUACUUGUGGCACUGCCGCUUAAGUCAUGUUAGUAUAAAUUGCAUGAAGAGGCUCCAUGCUGAUGGAUCUUUGUACUCACCUGAUUUCGAAUCACUAGUGACAUGCAAAUCAUACCACAUGAGCAAGGCCUUGUUUUCAUUGAGAUGAAAUAAGAUAGUAACUUGUUGAAAGUGAUACAUUUUGAUGUAUGCAGUCCAAUGGGUGCUGAGGCACGUAGUGGAUAUCAUUAUGUUCUUACUUCACUGACGAUUUGAGUAGAUACAGGAGUAUUUACUUAAUGAAUCACAAGUCUGAAAUGUUGAAAAGUUCAAUUCCGUUUCAGAGUGAAGUUCGUCGUAACAAGAGGAUAAACUGUCUACGAUAUGAUCAUGGAAAUGAAUAUCUGAGUUAUGAGUUUUGGUACGCAGUUAAGACAAUGUGGAAAUUGUUUCGCAGUUCAUGCCACCUGGAACAUCAUAGUGUGAUGAUGUGUCUGAACGUCAUAGCCACGCACUAUUUGGUAUGGUGCAUACUAUGAUGUCUCUUAUCGAAUUACCACUAUCGUUUAUGGGUUAUGCAUUAGAGACAACCGCACUCACUUUAAAUAGGGCACCGCGUAUUUCCGUUGAGAUGACACAGUAUAGACUGAGGUUUAGAGAAAUCUAAACUGUCGUUUCUUGAAAGUUUGGGGCUUCGACACUUAUGUGAAAAAGUUUCAGUCUGAUAAGCUCGAACCCAAAGCGGAUAAAUGCAUCUUCAUAGGAUAUCCAAAACAGUUGGGUACAUCUCCUAUCUCAGAUCCGAAAGCAAAGUGUUUGUUUCUAGAAACGGAUCCUUUCUCGAGGAAAGGUUUCUCUCGAAAGAAUUGAGUGGGAGGGUAGUAGAACUUGAUGAGGUUAUUGAACCAUCACUUCAACCAGUGUGUAGCAGGGUGCAGGAAGUUGUUCCUGUGGCGCCUACACCAAUUGAAGUGGAAGCAGAUGAUGGUGAUCAUCAAGCAUCGGAUCAAGUUACUACAAGCCUCGUAGGUUGACAAGGUCGCAUACUACUACAGAGUGGUACGGUAACCCUGUCUUGGAGGUCAUGUUGUUGAGCAACAGUGAACCUACGAGUUAUGGAGAAAGCGAUGGUGGGCCCAGAUUCUGACAAAUGGCUAGAAGCCAUGAAAUCCGAGAGAGGAUCCAUGUAUAAAACAAAGUGUAGACUUUGAAAGAACUACUUGAUGGUCAUAAGACUAUUGAGUAAAGAUGGAUCUUUAAAAGAAGACAGACGAUGAUGGUGAUAAGUCACUAUUAAGAAAAGCUCGACUUGUCGCAAAGAUGUUUUCGACAAGAUCAAACAGUUGACUAUGAUGAGACUUUCUCACUCGUAGCGAUGCUAAAGGUCUGUUGGAAUUAUGUUAGUUGUUGAUGCAUUAUUUAUGAAAUAUUGCACGUAGGAUGUCAAAACAUUGUUUUCUCGACGGUUUCCUUGAGCAAACAUUGUAUGUGAUACAACCAGAAGGUUUUGACGAUCCUAAAGAUACUAACAAGUAUGCAAGCUCCAGUGAUCCUUCAAUGGACUGGUGCAAGCAUCUCGGAGUUGGAAUAUACACUUUGAUGAGAUGAUCAAAGAUUUUGGGUUUGUACAAGGUUUAUGAGAAACUUGUAUUUCCAAAGAAGUGAGUGGGAGCACUAUAGAAUUUCUGAUAGGUAUAUGUGGUUGACAUAUUGUGGAUCAGAAGUAAUGUAGAAUUUCUGUAAAGCAUACAAGGUUGUUUGAAAGAAGUUUUCAAAGGAGUACCUGGAUUACGCUACUUGAACGUUGAGCAUCAAAGAUCUAUGGAGAUAGAUCGAAAGCGCUUAAUAGAAGUUUCAACAAGAUGCAUGCCUUGACAAGUUUUUGAAAGAGUUCAAAAUAGACCAGCAAAGAAGGAGUUCUUGGUUGCGUUGUGAGGUGUGAAUUUGAGUAAGACUCAAAACCCGACCACGGCAGAAUAAAGAGAAUAGACGAAGGUCGUCUUCUAUGCCUUAGCCGUAGAAUCUAAAGUAUGCCAUACUGUGUACCGCACCUGAAGUGUGCCUUGACUCAAAGUAUGUUGAGAGGUACAGAGAGUGAUCCAUGAUUGAAUCACUAGCAGCGGUCGAAAUUUAUCCUUAGUAACUAAUGGACUAAGGAAUUUUUCUCGAUUAUGGAGGUGGUUAAAGAGUUCGUCGNNNNNNNNNNNNNNNNNNNNNNNNNNNNNNNNNNNNNNNNNNNNNNNNNNNNNNNNNNNNNNNNNNNNNNNNNNNNNNNNNNNNNNNNNNNNNNNNNNNNACUAUUAUCUUGAUACAAGAAUUAUAAUAAUAACUAUAUUUAUUAUUGCCUCUAGGGCAUAAUUCCAACAGUCUCCCACUUGCACUAGAGUCAAUAAUCUAGCCCUCACAUCACCAUGUGAAUUACAUUGUAAUAAAUCUAACUCCCAUACAGUUCUGGUGUCGAUCAUGUUUUGGCCGUGGAAGAGGUUUAGUCAGCGGGUCUGCUACAUUCAGAUCCGUGUGCACUUUGCAUAUAUUUACGUCCUCUUCCUCGACGUAGUCGCGGAUGAGGUUGAAGCGUCGUUUGAUGUGUGUGGUCUUCUUGUGAAACCGUGGUUCCUUUGCUAAGGCAAUGGCACCUGUGUUGUCACAGAACAAGGUUAUUGGAUCCAGUGCACUUGGCACCACUCCAAGAUCCAUCAUGAACUGCUUCAUCCAGACACCCUCCUUAGCCGCCUCCGAGGCAGCCAUGUACUCCGCUUCACAUGUAGAAUCUGCUACGACGCUUUGCUUGGAACUGCACCAGCUUACUGCACGCCCAUUAAGAAUAAAUACGUAUCCGGUUUGCGACUUAGAGUCAUCCGGAUCUGUGUCAAAGCUUGCAUCGACGUAACCUUUUACGGCGAGCUCUUCGUCACCUCCAUAUACGAGAAACAUCUCCUUAGUCCUUUUCAGGUACUUCAGGAUAUUCUUGACCGCUGUCCAGUGAUCCACUCCUGGAUUACUCUGGAACCUACCUGCCAUACUUAUGGCCAGGCUAACAUCCGGUCUAGUGCACAGCAUCGCAUACAUGAUAGAACCUAUGGCUGAAGCAUAGGGGGCGGAGCGCAUAUGCUCUCUAUCUUCAUCAGUUGCUGGGCACUGAGUCUUACUCAAUCUCGUACCUUGUAAAACUGGCAAGAACCCUUUCUUGGACUGUUCCAUUUUGAACCUCUUCAAAACUUUAUCAAGGUAUGUGCUUUGUGAAAGUCCUAUCAGGCGUUUUGAUCUAUCCCUAUAGAUCUUAAUGCCUAGAAUGUAAGCAGCUUCUCCUAGGUCCUUCAUAGAGAAACUUUUAUUCAAGUAACCUUUUAUGCUCUCCAAAAGCUCUACAUUGUUUCCAAUCAGUAAUAUGUCAUCCACAUAUAAUAUUAGAAACGCCACAGAGCUCCCACUCACUUUCUUGUAAAUACAAGAUUCUCCAACCACUUGUAUAAACCCAAAUGCUUUGAUCACCUCAUCAAAGCGUUUGUUCCAACUCCGAGAUGCUUGCACCAGUCCAUAAAUGGAUCGCUGGAGCUUGCACACCUUGUCAGCAUUUUUAGGAUCGACAAAACCUUCGGGUUGCAUCAUAUACAACUCUUCCUUAAGAAAACCGUUAAGGAACGCCGUUUUGACAUCCAUCUGCCAGAUUUCAUAAUCGAAAAAUGCAGCUAUUGCCAACAUGAUUCUGACGGACUUAAGCAUCGCUACGGGUGAGAAAGUCUCAUCGUAGUCAACUCCUGGAACUUGUGAAAAACCCUUUGCCACAAGUCGAGCUUUAUAAACGGUCACAUUACCGUCAGCGUCCGUCUUCUUCUUAAAGAUCCAUUUGUUCUGAAUAGCCUUGCGGCCCUCAGGUAGUAUCUCCAAAGUCCACACUUUGUUCUCAUACAUGGAUCCUAUCUCGGAUUUCAUGGCUUCUAGCCAUUUGUUGGAAUCUGGGCCCACCAUUGCUUCUUCAUAAUUUGCAGGUUCAUUGUUGUCUAACAACAUGAUUGAUAAGACGGGAUUACCGUACCACUCUGGAGCAGCGCGUGAUCUCGUCGACCUGCGUGGUUCAACAGAAACUUGAACUGGAGUUUCAUGAUCAUCAUCAUUAACUUCCUCCUCAAUCGGCGUCGCAACGACAGAGGUUUCCCCUUGCCCUGCGUCACCAUCCAGAGGGAUGAAAGGUUCGACAACCUCGUCAAGUUCUAUCUUCCUCCCACUCAAUUCUCUCGAGAGGAACUCCUUCUCGAGAAAAGCUCCGUUUUUAGCAACAAACACUUUGCCCUCGGAUUUGAGAUAGAAGGUGUACCCAACUGUCUCUUUUGGGUAACCUAUGAAGACGCACUUUUCCGCUUUGGGUUCCAGCUUUUCAGGCUGAAGCUUUUUGACAUAAGCAUCACAUCCCCAAACUUUAAGAAACGACAACUUUGGCCUUUUGCCAUACCACAGUUCGUAUGGUGUCGUCUCAACGGAUUUUGAUGGUGCCCUAUUUAAAGUGAAUGCAGCUGUUUCUAAUGCAUAACCCCAAAAUGAUAACGGCAAAUAAGUAAGAGACAUCACAGAUCGCACCAUCUCUAACAAAGUACGAUUACAAUGUUCGGACACACCAUUACGCUGUGGUGUUCCAGGCGGUGUUAACUGCGAAACAAUUCCACAUUGUCUUAAGUGAGUACCAAACUCGAAACUCAGAUAUUCACCCCCACGAUCAGACCGUAGGAACUUGAUCUUCUUAUCACGAUGAUUUUCCACUUCACUCUGAAAUUGCUUGAACUUUUCAAAUGUUUCAGACUUGUGCUUCAUCAAGUAGAAAUAACCAUAUCUACUUAAAUCGUCAGUGAAGGUGAGAAAAUAACGAUAUCCGCCGCGUGCCUCUACGCUCAUUGGACCACACACAUCGGUAUGUAUGAUUUCCAACAAGUCACUUGCACGCUCCAUUGUUCCGGAGAACAGAGUCUUAGUCAUCUUGCCCAUGAGGCACGGUUCGCACGUGUCAAGUGAAUCAAAGUCAAGUGACUCCAAAAGUCCAUCAGCAUGGAGUUUCUUCAUGCGCUUUACACCAAUAUGACCCAAGCGGCAGUGCCACAAAAAUAUGGCGCUAUCAUUGUUUACUCUAACUCUUUUGGUCUCAAUGUUAUGUAUAUGCGUAUCGCUAUCAAGAUUCAAUAUGAACAAUCCUCUCACAUUCGGUGCACGACCAUAAAAGAUGUUACUCAUAGAAAUAGAACAACCAUUAUUCUCAGACUUAAAAGAGUAACCGUCUCGCAAUAAACAAGAUCCAGAUAUAAUGUUCAUGCUCAACGCAGGCACUAAAUAACAAUGAUUUAAGUUCAUCACUAAUCCCGAUGGUAGCUGAAGUGACACUGUGCCGACGGCGAUUGCAUCAACCUUGGAACCAUUUCCUACGCGCAUCGUCACUUCGUCUUUUGCCAGCCUUCGUCUAUUCCGCAGUUCCUGUUUCGAGUUGCAAAUGUGAGCAACAGAACCGGUAUCGAAUACCCAGGCACUACUACGAGAGCCGGUUAAGUACACAUCAAUAACAUGUAUAUCAAAUAUACCUGAUUUUUCUUUGCCCGCCUUCUUAUCUGCCAGAUACUUGGGGCAAUUGCGCUUCCAGUGUCCCAUGCCCUUGCAAUAGAAGCACUCUGUUUCAGGCUUAGGUCCAGCCUUGGGUUUCUUCGGCGGAUUGGCAACAGGCUUGCCGCUCUUCUUCGAAUUGCCCUUCUUGCCUUUGCCGUUUCUCUUGAAACUAGUGGUCUUGCUCACCAUCAACACUUGAUGCUCUUUACGGAGUUCAGACUCUGCAACUUUCAGCAUCGCAAACAACUCGCCGGGAGACUUGUUCAUCCCUUGCAUGUUGUAGUUCAACACAAAGCCUUUAUAGCUUGGCGGCAGUGAUUGAAGGAUUCUAUCAGUGAUAGCUUCUUGGGGGAGUUCAAUCCCCAGCUCAGCUAGACGGUUUGAGUACCCAGACAUUUUGAGCACAUGUUCACUGACAGACGAGUUUUCCUCCAUCUUGCAAGCAUAAAAUUUAUCGGAGGUCUCAUACCUCUCGAUCCGGGCGUUCUUUUGAAAGAUAAACUCCAACUCCUGGAACAUCUCAAAUGCUCCAUGACGCUCAAAGCGACGUUGAAGUCCCGGUUCUAAGCCAUACAAGACUGCACAUUGAACUAUUGAGUAGUCCUCCUUACGUGCUAACCAAGCGUUCUUAACAUCCUGAUCAGCCGUAGCGGGUGGUUCAUCUCCUAGCGCAGCAUUAAGGACAUAAUCCUUCUUCCCAGCUUGUAAGAUUAGCUUAAGAUUACGAGCCCAGUCUACAAAGUUGCUUCCAUCAUCUUUCUGUUGGAAAUAUGCCNNNNNNNNNNNNNNNNNNNNNNNNNNNNNNNNNNNNNNNNNNNNNNNNNNNNNNNNNNNNNNNNNNNNNNNNNNNNNNNNNNNNNNNNNNNNNNNNNNNNAAAUUGUGUUCUCCCCGACUGUGCACCGUUUCUACAGUUCGUCGUUUCGAGACACCACGUGAUGAUCGGGUGUGAUAGACUCAACGUUCACAUACAACGGGUGCAAAACAGUUGCGCACGCGGAACACUCGGGUUAAGCUUGACGAGCCUAGCAUGUGCAGACAUGGCCUUGGAACACAUGAGACCGAAAGGUCGAUCAUGAAUCAUAUAGUUGAUAAGAUUAGCAUAGGGAUGCUUACCACUGAAACUAUACUCAACUCACGUGAUGAUCGGACUUGGGAUAGUGUAAGUGGAUCAUGAACCACUCAAAUGACUAGAGAGAUGUAUUUUUGAGUGGGAGUUUAGCAUAUAAUUUGCUUAAGUUGAACUCUAAUUAUCUUGAACAUAGUCUAAGUCCACUUUGAAUAUAUUUGUAUUGUAGAUCAUGGCUCACGCGACAGUCAUCCUGAAUUUUAAUACGUUCCUAGAGAAAGCUAAGUUGAAAGUGUUGGGGAACGUCGCNNNNNNNNNNNNNNNNNNNNNNNNNNNNNNNNNNNNNNNNNNNNNNNNNNNNNNNNNNNNNNNNNNNNNNNNNNNNNNNNNNNNNNNNNNNNNNNNNNNNACUAUUAUCUUGAUACAGGAAUUAUAAUAAUAACUAUAUUUAUUAUUGCCUCUAGGGCAUAAUUCCAACAGUAUGGUUAAGUGGUGAAGCUGCAGGAAGCGACUAAGCAUUUAUUGAGGUGGUAAGCUACGAGUACAAGAAUAAAGAGGGGAAGAUCUACGCAUAGUGGAUGUGAACUACUGAUGAUCAAAUGAAUGAUCCUAAACACUUACUUACGUCAAACAUAACCCCACCGUGUCCUUGAUCGGAGAAGGAACUCGCGAAAGAGACAGUCACGGUUACGCACCCAGUUGGCAUAUUUUAAUUAAGUUAACUUCAAGUUGUCUAGAACGAGUGUUAAACAAAGUUUCCACAUUGCCACAUAACCGCGGGCAUACCUUUCCGAAAGAUUUAACCCUAUAGGGGUGCUCCAACUAGUCCAUCACAAAUUACCACAAGCCGCAUAGAAAUCCUUGAUCACGACACUCGCGAUCUCGUCGUAUACCUUAGUGGAAAACCUCAACUCUGAGAUUACCCAAAGCAUCACCGGAAUCCCGAUGCACAAGAUAUCUCGUAAAAGGUAAAACUAAUCCAGCAAGGCCGCCCGACGAGUCGACGAUCCCGAUAGGAGCCGCGUAUCUCGUUCUCAGGACACGACGGAUGAGCUAGACGUCGGGAUCGCUAAACCCUGGGUGACCAGGGGCGCGGGACAUCGCUCAGGUGGGACCAACACUCAUGCGGAACACUGGCCCGGGGGUUAAUUAAUUAUCCCCGGGGUCCGGAAAGUCCCUAUGCAAUUUUAUUAGGUUAUUAGGCAAAUGUAGUACCAAAGUUGGGCCUUGCGAGACCAGCUUUAAUCUAAAACGAAUUAUCAAGGGGGUCCCCAUAACAACCCCGAUCGUGUUAGGAGCGCUCAAAUAUGGAACAUAACACCGGUAGACGAAACUAAGGGGACAAAGGUGGAACAAAACACCAGGCUAGAAAGGCCAAGCCUUCCACCUUUUACCAAGUAUAUAGGUGCAUUAAAUUAAAUAACAUUUAAUAGGGUGAUAUAACAAGGAACCCAUGUUUUCACAUGGAAGCAACGACACAUGCAACUAGCAACGCUAACACAUGGUUAAGCAAGCGGUAACAUAGCCAAUCAGUGGUUUGCUAGGUUGUGUACAUAUUGAAGGUUUUCAUGGCAUUGUUGAGAAGCUGAUAUUUAACAUGUGGUAGGCAACGAGACUACGCGUCGUUACAAGCAAUUUACACAUAGAGAACAUCUCCAACGGAGCUACGGGACAAAAGAUACGAACACCGCAAGAUAUGAUGGCAUGAAUGCAAUAUGUGUGCAAAUGGCGUCCACAACACUUCAAAACAUACAACCAGCAAGAUAAUAAGAAACUACUCGAGAUUCUAAGCAAGUUUCAUAUAGGACACGAUCAAAACGGAGCAACGGUCCAACAACUACGAGCUAAACAAGAAAUCACCACAAUCUGCCAAAAUCAGCCACAUUGCAUUUUCUACACCCCACAACUACGAGCUACACAAACCCAAUAUACUCAACCAAGGCAUGAGACGAUAGAGGGCAGGAUGCACUACCACAAGCAACUUAUAACACCUANNNNNNNNNNNNNNNNNNNNNNNNNNNNNNNNNNNNNNNNNNNNNNNNNNNNNNNNNNNNNNNNNNNNNNNNNNNNNNNNNNNNNNNNNNNNNNNNNNNNAAGAGUUCUCCGGCAGCGUGACGGCGCUCCGGAGGUUGGUGAUGAUCUUGUCUCAGCAGGGCUCCGCCCGAGCUCCGCAGAAACGUGAUCUAGAGGAAAAACUAUGGAGGUAUGUGGUCGGGCAGCCGUGAGAAAGUCGUCUCAAAUCANNNNNNNNNNNNNNNNNNNNNNNNNNNNNNNNNNNNNNNNNNNNNNNNNNNNNNNNNNNNNNNNNNNNNNNNNNNNNNNNNNNNNNNNNNNNNNNNNNNNNNNNNNNNNNNNNNNNNNNNNNNNNNNNNNNNNNNNNNNNNNNNNNNNNNNNNNUAGGUGGGAGGGAGGGGAGGAGGCAGCCUCAAAACCCAAAGGUUUGGCCGAAAUUGGAGGUGGAGGAGUCCUACUCCAAUCCUACUUGGAGUAGGAUUCCACCUUCCCACUUGGAAACUCUUUCCACCUUGUGUUUUUUCCUUCUCAAACCUUAUGGGCCUUAGUGGGAACUUAUUCCAGCCCACUAGGGGCUGGUUUAUCUCUUCCCAUAGCCCAUGAGACCCCUUGGGGCGUGACACCCCUCCCGAUGGUCCCCGGCACCCCUCCCGGCACUCCCGGUACACUACCGAUGAGCCCGAAACUUUUCCGGUAAUGCCCGGAAACUUUCCGGUAACCAAAUGAGGUCAUCCUAUAUAUCAAUCUUCGUCUCCGGACCAUUCCGGAAACCCUCGUGAUGUCCGUGAUCCCAUCCGGGACUCCGAACAACAUUCGGUAACCAACCAUAUAACUCAAAUACGCAUAAAACAUCGUCGAACCUUAAGUGUGCAGACCCUGCGNNNNNNNNNNNNNNNNNNNNNNNNNNNNNNNNNNNNNNNNNNNNNNNNNNNNNNNNNNNNNNNNNNNNNNNNNNNNNNNNNNNNNNNNNNNNNNNNNNNNNNNNNNNNNNNNNNNNNNNNNNNNNNNNNNNNNNNNNNNNNNNNNNNNNNNNNNNNNNNNNNNNNNNNNNNNNNNNNNNNNNNNNNNNNNNNNNNNNNNNNNNNNNNNNNNNNNNNNNNNNNNNNNNNNNNNNNNNNNNNNNNNNNCAAGGAUUCAUAUAAUCCCGUAUGUCAUUCCCUUUGUCCUUCGGUAUGUUACUUGCCCGAGAUUCGAUCGUUAGCAUCCGCAUACCUAUUUCAAUCUCGUUUACCGGCAAGUCUCUUUACUCGUUCCGUAAUACAAGAUCCCGCAACUUACAUUAAGUUACAUUGCUUGCAAGGCUUGUGUGUGAUGUUGUAUUACCGAGUGGGCCCCGAGAUACCUCUCCGUCACACGGAGUGACAAANNNNNNNNNNNNNNNNNNNNNNNNNNNNNNNNNNNNNNNNNNNNNNNNNNNNNNNNNNNNNNNNNNNNNNNNNNNNNNNNNNNNNNNNNNNNNNNNNNNNCGGGACCUGGAUGCCCAAAUUGGAUCCUACAUAUUCUACGAAGAUCUUAUCGUUUGAACCUCAGUGCCAAGGAUUCGUAUAAUCCCGUAUGUCAUUCCCUUUGUCCUUCGGUAUGUUACUUGCCCGAGAUUCGAUCGUCAGUAUCCGCAUACCUAUUUCAAUCUCGUUUACCGGCAAGUCUCUUUACUCAUUCCGUAAUACAAGAUCCCGCAACUUACACUAAGUUACAUUGCUUGCAAGGCUUGUGUGUGAUGUUGUAUUGCCGAGUGGGCCCUGAGAUACCUCUCCGUCACACGGAGUGACAAAUCCCAGUCUUGAUCCAUACUAACUCAACUAACACCUUCGGAGAUACCUGUAGAGCAUCUUUAUAGUCACCCAGUUACGUUGCGACGUUUGAUACACACAAAGCAUUCCUCCGGUGNNNNNNNNNNNNNNNNNNNNNNNNNNNNNNNNNNNNNNNNNNNNNNNNNNNNNNNNNNNNNNNNNNNNNNNNNNNNNNNNNNNNNNNNNNNNNNNNNNNNNNNNNNNNNNNNNAGCAUUCCUCCGGUGUCAGUGAGUUAUAUGAUCUCAUGGUCAUAGGAAUAAAUACUUGACACGCAGAAAACAGUAGCAACAAAAUGACACGAUCAACAUGCUACGUCUAUUAGUUUGGGUCUAGUCCAUCACGUGAUUCUCCCAAUGACGUGAUCCAGUUAUCAAGCAACAACACCUUAUUCAUAAUCAGAAGACACUGACUAUCAUUGAUCAACUGGCUAGCCAACUAGAGGCAUGCUAGGGACGGUGUUUUGUCUAUGUAUCCACACAUGUAAAUGAGUCUUCAUUCAAUACAAUUAUAGCAUGGAUAAUAAACUAUUAUCUUGAUACANNNNNNNNNNNNNNNNNNNNNNNNNNNNNNNNNNNNNNNNNNNNNNNNNNNNNNNNNNNNNNNNNNNNNNNNNNNNNNNNNNNNNNNNNNNNNNNNNNNNCAAGGUAUCAAUCCAGUAGGAGAAUCGCGCCAAGUCCAGAGUACCUGCGCAAACACAAAAGAGCUUGCACCCAACGCUAUAAAGGGGUUGUCAAUCCCUUCAAGAUUGAUUGCAAAGUGAGAUCUGAAGGCGGAAAGUGCAACGAAGUAAAAUUGUAAGGCUGAAAAUAUGGUGUGAAGUAGACCCGGGGGCCAUAGUGUUCACUAGAGGCUUCUCUCAAAAUAGCAAAUAAUACGGUGGGUGAACAAAUUACUGUCGAGCAAUUGAUAGAACCGCGCAAAGUCAUGACGAUAUCUAAGGCAAUGAUCAUACAUAUAGGCAUCACGUCCGAGACAAGUAGACCGAUACUUUCUGCAUCUACUACUAUUACUCCACACAUCGACUACUAUCCAGCAUGCAUCUAGUGUAUUGAGUUCAUGACGAACAGAGUAACGCCUUAAGCAAGAUGACAUGAUGUAGAGGGAUAAUCUCAAACCAAUGAUGAAAACCCCAUCUUUUUACCCUUGAUGGCAACAACANNNNNNNNNNNNNNNNNNNNNNNNNNNNNNNNNNNNNNNNNNNNNNNNNNNNNNNNNNNNNNNNNNNNNNNNNNNNNNNNNNNNNNNNNNNNNNNNNNNNCCACAGUUUAUGAAAGAGCAGUUUUCGAUCUGAAGGCAUAUUGACAGCAGCAAAACCAUAAGCUAUAGGACUCCAAAUGGCAUGAAAAUUCACAGCAUGCUAGAGAAUCGUAAAGUCUACAACUAACUCCAUUGCACCAACCUCAAAAGGGCUACAAAUCACCAGAUAAACUCAUGCAAAGACAACAACAAAAUAUAACAGAUUUUAGACUUAGAAAUAUUUCAACAUCUUCAAAUCAACACUAUUUCCUAGCAAGUAGAGAACAAGCAAACCACACAUAAACAUGUAUUUCUAUUGCAACCAAAAUUACCAGGGGCUAGUCUAGACAUCCAAUGGCAUAUCUCUAGUUAACAACUCCUUCAUAUCAUGCACGGAAUAAAUCACACAAAAUAAACAAAAGAUCAGCAUGGAAAAAUAUCACGCGAACUAACUUGCUCAAAAUCUAAAACUAAAUGCACAGUUAAAUCCUAUGGAUUUUUCUACCCCGAAAACAUAUAUAACAUGAGGGGUUGCAAAAUAAAAACAACACCACACGUAUAUGCGGGAAUAUGUCCUAAACACGGUAUAGCGAGCUAGCUACGGAAUCCCACAUGCAAAAAUACAAUCAACUUCUCUAAAAUACAUGGCAAAAGGGUUCCUAAAACAUGAGCAUUUUAUCUACGGCAUUCGAGCAAUCCGGACACGCACGAGAAAUAACUACAAAACAAGAACAUAAUAGGACAUCACGCGUUUCCAUGCAUAUGGCGGUUCAAACUACUUCAAACAUUUAUGCAAGUUGCAAAUUCGUAACCUACGCGAAAUUCUACACGAGUUCCAUAUAUAACUCACCUCGAUCCGACUUACGAUUUAGAAACUACGGACAUUUUAAAAAUAGCUAUUUUCGUGAAACUAAAUAAAACUGAAAUCCCAAAAAAAAGAUAACCUGCCUAAUCUAAACAGGGCCCAACAGGAGCUUGGGCGCAAGAUAGCAAGGCUUCGCCGGCGGCGCACAUUAGAGGGCCAGUGGGUUGCUCACCUCGGGCUCGGCCCAAAAGGCUUGGAGAGGGGGAGCUGGAGGGGCUGGCGCUCCUAGGCCGGUCGGGGCGCUGCUGGGCCGGCGCGGCGGCUGCUGUGGGCUGACGGCGGAGGGAGGUGGCUCCAGGGCGGCGGCUGUUGGCCGGUGGCGGGGAUGGCGCCGGUCGGGGCUGUGAGAUCCGGCGAUGGGGCGGCCGGAUCUGGACGGGAGGAGGAGCGGGACGACACUGCUCCGGCGACCUCGCGGCCGGCGGGACCGAGGGCUUCGACGGGCAUGCCACGGGAAGACGAUGAGGAGGAGCUGGGGAGGCUGCCAUGGAAGGAGGAGAAGCACGGGAAGCUCGGUCGGGCGGCGACGCGCCGGAUGGGCCUCGCACGGGCCCGAUCUGGGCUCGGCGGGCCUGGCUGGUGGGAGGAGACAGAGUGGGCAGGCUAGGGUUUGGUGGGGAUGCACAGAAAAUGAGGAGGAGAGAGGGAGGUUGUCUAAAUUGAUGUGGGGGUCUAUUUAUAGACAAAGGGGGGGGCUAGGUUUAGCGGUUUUUCACCCCGGUUUCAACCGCGCGAUCGGAAUCGAACAAUUCCGAACGCUGGACGGGCUAAGUGGCCAUGUAGAGUAGGUUAUCCGGGGAAGAGAGGGAAAUGGUGCAGCGCGGCAAUGUGAUUUAAAAUACCGGAAAACGUCCGACGAUAGACCGGAUACGGUGCCGCUAUGGUCGACCGUUCGGGUACCAGACGGACUCCGAUUGCGACGAAAUUUGACAGACGGUCUACCUAUAACUAAUAAAGACCGCACGCCAAGUUUCAACUCAAUCAGAGAAUAUUUUGCACACACUUUUAAAAUAGGGUUUUGACGAUGCCGCGGGCGCGUGCGAGUGCGGUCGGGCUCAGGACGGACAACGACGAGAACCGGCAACUGACAACGGAUGCGAGUUUGAAAACUGGUGGCAACGGAGAUGCCGAUGCAAUGCGGAUGAUGUGCAUGAUGCGAUGAUGAUGCGACAAAUAAAAUAAGACACACGACGAAAACGGAAUAAAGGGGGAAUCUUCUGGAACGUCGGUCUUGGGUUGUCACAAAUCUGCUACACUACAAGAGGAUCUCGACCCGAGAGCCAAGAAUGAACGGGGAAGAGGAUGAGAAAGAAGAGGUAAAUGAGUGAAACCAACGAUCCUUGAAAGUUGCAAAGAGAUGAAGUAUGAUAUGAGAAACAAGGAAGAAUUCACAGAAAAUUUUGGCUGCACUUCGGUAGGAAAAGGGGAAAAUAGAUAAGAUAGGAGAACUAGACAAGAUUCACAACAAACAACUAAAUAGAACAAGGGAACAACAUGAUUGACCCAAAAGAGCAACAACACAAUGCCUCCGGAACAAGGGAAUAAAACUCGAUCAUUGGGAUCAAAGAAUGAAUAAGAGAAUAACAACUACUAUCACAAAAAUCUUGAAGAACACUUGAGACAAAGAAUUGAUAUCAUGAGCCCUCCGGAAGAAGAAUUGAAAUCACUAUGAAGAAGAAUAAGAAUCAUGUUAUGCUUAUCCUUCAUCAAGUUUAAUUGAUGACAAGCAACAGAUUUAGCAUAUCACUUAUUCUUCUUGAAAGAAACUUGAAGAGAGAGAUAGAUAUGCACAAACUUGAACAAGUCCUUAAGGAGACACCGGUAAGAAUUGGAUUGAAUGGGGAUAUAUAAAAAAUGAAUGGAGAUACAUGGAAGCGAAGAGAACAUAAGCCACCUGAGAGAAAACUUGAACAAGGCACCAGAAUAAUUGAGAGACGAAUGAAGAGACAACAAUAGAGAAGAAUUUGAGAUUGAAAGCUGAAAGCUGAAAACGAAGAAUCUUCUGAAAUGAUGGCCUUCGGAGGAUCGAGAAUGAAAACAACUCAGAAAAGCACCGGAUAGCAAGAAAGAGAUUACUCAUUACUGGAACAAUUAAGAUGAUGGCACCAAGCUGAAAUGAUGAAUCUUCUAGAGAAUGGACCAAGAUUUGAGAGAAACACUCCUUCGGUCUUGAAGCUGAAAAUGAUGAGGAGAACACCACCAAGAAUAAGUGAGACACUCUGGAAUAAAGAAGAAUGAAAGGUUGAGCCAAAGAAUGAAUUAGUUCGAAUAGAACUUGGAGAAGGGAUAUGACUGACGAAAUUCCUACUUAUGUUGUAGUUGAAAAGAAUUAGAGAUCUCUGGAAAGGUUACAAGAGCCAGAAAAGAUCCUGGGAAAAACCUGUGGGUUAUGGGCCCACUCAAAGAAACCACCGUUGAAAAGAUUGCUCAAAAAGAGAGAUAUUUCACCGGCACAAAUGAAAACUUGAUGAGGUUGAGCACCUCGAAAUAAUUGAAAGAAUUGACAAGAAGAAACUUCUGAAAUAUCUUAAACACUCCGGACAGCAUAGAGAGAAAUGACCAGAAGAAGACUUGAUUAGAAUUUCCGACAUGGUAAGAAUUACAAGAAUGAAAAGGAUAUAAUGAACACUGAAAGCUUGAAUUGAAUCCACCGGGUAGAAAACAACAUGAAGAAAUGAAGAACCCGAAGUCCUAAGAAUCUUCACAAUGAAUCACCGGAUGAGAGAGAAAAGAAAAAGAUAGCGGAAGCAACAACGAAAUGAAAUGCACUAGGAUGAAAUCCAAACAUUGAAUAAAAAGGGCGGGAGGGCGGGGAAAAACAAAGACAACUUGGUACAGAUGAGAUGAAGCCCGGAAGAAAUGAGGGAUGAUCUUGCAAAAUUGGAGAGGAUAGAAUUCACUUGGAGAGAAACACAACGGGUGGAAAAGAAUUAACAUGACGACUGCGGUUGACAAGAAUUAAUAAGACAAUUGAUUAAGCAAAAGAAUUAGCAUUCCCAUAAAUAUAUGAGAACACCUCUUGGAAGGAUACAAAUUCACCACUUGACAUCGAAGCAACUCGAAUUUCCAUAUUUCAACAAAACAAAGGGUGAGGCUUACGAAACAAGCAAGAACAAACUCAUGAGAGAGAUUUCAUUCGAUAUUUUCGUUGACAGGAUCGCACGGGCUCGAUCCUUACAGUAGCCAUCCUGUGCAAGGCAGUGCACACGACAUACGAAGCGUCCCCGAGUCGUAGCAAGCUUCAAGGACUCUUAAAGACACAACGAGAGCCGUUGUAAGACAACCGUCAACAAACGAAUCCACUAGAUGUCAAACCCCAACCUAACAUCAUGUAUUUCUUGGAAGAUUGUCCUAUAAAUAACUACUUGAAUUCCCACCUAAGAACUCCUGAAAUUUCUGGUCAUGCAAUCUGGUACACGGAUACAAGGAGUAAUAUAUCACACAACUCCUAUACUAACCCGUCCAAUGUAUCACAUCCGUCAACACAUAACCAGAAUCUCGGACCUUCAUCUACUACAGACCCUCGUGAUCACAACAAUACAAAGUAUGGCAGUACUCCCGAACAAUCUGCAACGGUACUGGGGACAUCGGGGUUAUCUCGCCACUACUAGUAUUGAAGCAAUUACGAACAUCCUUUGUCCUGAUAUACUAAGAAAUCUGAAUGAUAGGGAUGUGCUCGAGAAUCCCCUGGUGCUCAACUCCCCAGAAGAAAUCAAGUCAGACAGGAGGCACCAAGAUAGAACUCCGUCACAUCGACAUUAUAUAGAUUCCAAAAAUAUCCGCGUGAUCCUAAAAUAAUUUGAGUGAGAAGAGGAGUAGAAUUGAAAUUAGUACGUCACUAUUCCUCACCAGAGCAUAGAAGAGGAGAAAAAAGAAUCCUAGUCGACGAUAUAUAGCUAGACUCAAAGCAAUUUUUUCACUAGACUCGACUCGGCCAAGUUCGAUCAAUCAAGGGGGAUCCUAGGUCGGUACUGCUCUGAUACACACUUGUCACGCCCAAGAUGCGAUCCUAUCCUCAGUUUGGCACAAGGACCUCGUCAGGGAUAGAAGCGCAUCUUGUCGUUUCGCAAGAAUGGAUAUCGUUACAAGUACAUGUACUGAAAAUAGGAGAUAUACAGAAUUGGCUUACCCUCGCCACAAGCUACAUCAGAGUCACAUCAGUACAAUACAUAAUCAUCUUGAAGAAGAGCACGGUACGACUACAGACGAAAACAAACGAGAAAAGAAGAACGACGUCCAUCCUUGCUAUCCCAGGCUGCCAGCGUGGAACCCAUCCUAGAUCGAUGAAGAAGAAGAAGAAGCAACUCCAAUUGAACAAUUGAUGUCAACUGUUAUUCCCCUUGCAACGACACCACAAGAAUGCUGCUAGCACUCUCCGGCAAUCGAAACGAGAAGAAUGUUGUUGACGCCCACCAACGCGUGGGAUCGUAGCAGUUUUUGAGGGUAGAGUAUUCAACCCAAAUUUGUUGGUACGCCUAUAGGAGGUGAGAGGAUACUCUCAAGUAUUAGCAGCUGAAUAUGUCAGAUUCAACCACACCUGAAAGAUUAGUAUCUGCAAGCAAAGUAGUAACAACAAAGUAGCAUGAUAACAACGGUGUCAGAAGCGAUUUGUUGAUACGGCAGACUAUUUCUAACGGUUGUAUCAAUGGCGCCAAGUUGCCUCAUUGACGGAAGUUGUCAGUUCCCGUCAUCGUCCAGCGAACCAAAAUUGUAGCGGGUAGCAGCACUGUAACGAGAAACAGCAACUGCAAGGAAAAGCAGUAGUGACAGCAGUAGCAAGCAGCAAGAGUAGCAAGUGACAGUAGUAGCAACAGUAGCAGCAGAGCAAGACAAGUAAUAGCAGUAGUGACAGCAGUAGCAAGUAGCAACAGUAGCAAGCGACAGUAGUAGCAACAGUAGCAGCAGAGCAAGACAAGUAACAACAGCAGUAGGACAAACUCAUAGGCAAUGGGUCGGUGAUUUGUUUGGAUGAUAUUCAUCAUGCAACAGUUAUAACACGGAGAGAUAUGUGGCUAGCUCCCGUUCGUCAAUGUGAUGUAGUCAUGCAUUCCGUGUGUCGUCAGACGUGCUUAGGGAAAAGAACUUGCAUGCCAUCUAUUGUCCAUCCCUCCCGUGGCAGCGGGGUCCAAAAUAAAACUACGGGAUAUUAAGGUUCUCCUUUUAAUAAAGAACCAGACCAACGCAUUAGCACUUGGUGAACACGUGAACUCCUCAAACUAUGGUCAUCACGGGGCGUGGUUCCGGUUAUUGUCACUCCAGGGUUGCCGCGUCAUAACACAUAGUAGGUAACUACAAAUUGCAAGAUCGGAUCUAAAACAUACAUAUAUUGGUGACAACAUAAUAAUUUCAUAUCUGAAAUCAUGGCACUCGGGCCCUAGUGACAAGCAUUAAGCAUGGCAAAGUAGUAGCAACAUCAAUCUCAGAACAUAGUGGAUACUAGGGAUCAUUCCCCAUCAAAACUAACUUGAUUACAUGAUAGAUCUCAUCCUACUCAUCACCGCCCAGCGAGUCUACGAAUAGAUUACUCACGAACGACGAAGAGCUUCAUGGAAUUGGAGAGGGAAGAAGGUUGAUGAUGACGAUGGCGACGAUUUCCCCUCUCCGGAGCCCAAGACGUACUCCAGAUCUGCCCUCCAGAUGAAGAACAGGUGGUGGCGGCGCCUCCGUAUCAUAAACGCGACGAAAACUUCUCUUUUUAUUUUUUCUGGGACGAAAGUGAACUUAUAGACCUGAGGUUGGGGGCGGCAGAGCCGUGUGGGCCCCACAAGCCUGCCCACCACCACCAGGGGGGUGGUGGCGGAGCCAGGGCUUGUGGCCCACUGGCUCACCCCCUUAGGUGGAACUUGGCGCAGAUAUUUUUCAUAUUUUCCAAAAAUGCUCCCCGUAAAUUUUCAGGAUAACACUCCUAGCAUGGAAGAUACCAAUAGCCCCCUGUCACCACAUGAGCGGUUCGGGCAUGCAAAACAGAUUAUUUCUUGAAGGUUUAGAGAGUGGCACAUGCAAAUUUACAUGGAACGGCAGGUAGAUACCGCAAAUAGGUAGGUAUGAUGGACUCUCAUUGAAAAACUUUUGGGUUUAUCGAAGUGGAUGCACAAGAAGUAUUCCGCUUAGUACAAGUGAAGGCUAGCAAAAGACUGGGAAGCGACCAACUAGAGAGCGACAACAGUCAUCAAGAUGCAAUGAGUUUGACUAACAUUGAAUGCAAGCAUGAACAGGAUAUAAAUCACCAUGAACACGAACAUCAUAGAAGCUAUGUUGAUUUUGUUUCAACUACAUGCAUAAACAUGCGCCAAGUCAAGCCACUUGAAACAUUCAAAGGAGAAUACCAUCCUAUCAUACUACAUCAAAGUCAUCUCAAAAUCUAUGUUGGCAUUCAAGACAAACCAUUAUAAGCUCUCAACUAAUAAGCAUGGCAUCAGAAACUAUGAUCUCUAAGUUGUCAUUGCAAACAUGGUUCUCUCACAACAAAGCUAAAUCUGGGUCGACAAGCUAGUCAUAUUUACAAAAACAAAAUAGAUAGAGUUCAUACCAGCUUUUCAGUCUCAGUCACUUCAUCAUAUAUCAUCAUUGUUGCCUUUCAUUUGCACGAUUGAACGAUGAGAACGAUAAUAAGCGCAUUGGACUAAGCGGAAUCUGCAAGAAAACACAAAGGAGAAGACAAAGUAAUAUGGCUCUUUGAAAGCUAAACAGGUAAGCAUGCAAGAACCAAUAAACAUUGUAACCAAUAUCUUCUACCUUGACACAAAGAAAAAGAAAACUAUUUACACGGGAAAGCUCCCAACAAGCAAAAGAAGAAAGAAAAAUCUUGUUGGGUUUUCUCAAAAGGAUACAAAACAAGAAAACAAGAAAACAAAAAUAAACUAGCAUGGAUAAUACAGUGGCAAAGUGUAAACACCGGCUAACAAAGUGAAAGCAUAAGCAUGAAUGUAAAGUCGGUGAGAACACGUACUCCCCCAAGCUUAGGCUUUUGGCCUAGCUUGGUCUACUCCCAUGGUGGGAAAUAACCAGCUCCAGGAUACUCCAGAGCAGACUGUGGAUGCCACUACUGUGUGAGCUCCUCUGGCUCCCACUGAUAAACUGGCGUCUCGUACUCGACUGGUGGCUCGGGCACGGGCGCUUGUGGUUGGGCCAAGCCCCAAUAUGCGUAGAUGUUCGAGGGCAUAAUAGUGUACCUGCCUCCAUGAAGAUCGAACAAAGAAGGAGCAGGCAAAGUAAUAGUCUCUCGAGUACCCUAACUAAAUACCAGGUUAUAAAUCAUCCGUCUACUAGCAUCUCUAUCCAGAAAAUCAUGGCGAACCAUGCUGUCAUAAUCCAGAUAUUUCUCAGGGAGAAGCAUCUCUCCUUCCUCUCCCAGUCUAAUGGGUAUCUCAAAGUGUCUGGCAAGACGGGUAGCAUAGAUACCUCCAUAGACAACACCUUUAGAACGGUUCAGGUUCAACCGUUGAGCUACUAUAGCGCCCAGGCUAUAAGUCUUAUCGUUAUAAAGGCCUUCGCGCAGAACCGCAAGGUCUGGAGAACUAAGUGAUCCAGCCUCCCCAAGGCCAAUCAAACAUUUUCCCACAAAUAGUGAGAAGUACCGAAGCAUAGGAAAAUGUAUGCUAGCAAUUCUAGCGCGAGACACUCCUCUCUCCUCUCCAACAACAAUAGAACCAAUGAAAUCCUCCAAGUCCCGUGGACGAGGGUCACGGAUAUUCCCAACAUAAGGUAAUUUGCAUACAUUGCAAAAAUCCUGCAGCGUCAUGCACUGGGGGACAUCAUAUAUCAUGAACUCAACCAUGGGAGGAUUCUUCCUCGGAUAAAAGUUGAAGCUUUGAAUGAAAAUAUUGGUGAGGAAGAGGUAUUGUGAGCACUUAUCUUCAACGAACGCAGUAAGACCUGCGUUCUCCACCAAGUAAUAAAAGUCUUCAUAAAGUUUGGCGGCGCGCAAAAAUUCAUCACUUGGCCACUCGCACGCUUGAACUUCUGUGACUCGAGGAACUACGUACUUGGGGUAGUUCUUGUCAUCCUCCUUGGGGUUACGGCUUGAAGAGCCUCUCAAGAACCUCGUCAUCUUUUCCUUUUUCUAGCUCUGAAAAAUUCUGAAAAUUUUAGAGAAUUGGAAAGAAAAGUGAAUAAGGGUUAACCCAACUUGUAACAACUACUCCUACUAGUGCCUAGAGACCGUAUCACGCGCUAAAACUACUUGGGACCAGCUAAAAUCAACAUUUCUAGGUCAAGAACAGGGUCACCAAGGUAGCAAGAAUUUGCGAAGGAUAAAGCACUAGAGCAAAAACUAAUUGGACCAAUGGAGGAGUCACUUACCAAGGAGUAAUUUCCCCAAAACGGUUCAAAGAAUGGUGCUUUGAGAAAGGAGAUCUAAAAUCACAGCCAAAUGAGCAAGAACACGGGUUUGAGCUGCGAAACAAUUUUUUUCUGGAGGUGGAAGAAGAGGCUGGGAGAUGGAAUGAGUGGAGGGGGUGCCUAUGAGCCCCACAAGCUUGCACUCCGCCACCAGGGGGGUAGGUGGCGGUGGCAGGGCUUCUGGCCCACUGGUCUGGCCCCCAGGCCAGCUCUCAGGCCCAGUAAUUUUCAAAAAUUCCAGAAAAAAUCAUACUAAAUUUUCAGGACCAUCGGAGAACUUCUAUUUUCGAGGUAUUUUUCUCCGGGAUGCUAAAACAGAAAACAUGAAAAGCUAAACUAAUUCUACCAUUUUUCUUCCAAGCAAAAGAAAAUGAAAGCUUAAAACAGAGGUAUGUGACUCUUUGAUUCAUCUGUUUCAUGGUCAUCGAAAGAAAUCCGUCAAUGGGGUUGAUCAAGUCCUCAUGACAAAACCUUCUCGAAUCUCAAGAGAGAACGGAGAAUUUUUUGAUAGCCACUAAGUCACCUCAAUGGGGAUAUGUAUCUCCCCAACAAGAAAAUCAUACUUCAUCUUGACACGAGGAAUAGGGCAUUCAAAGCUCCCGAUGAGAAUCGAUGAAGUCUUUUCGAUAGCAGUGAUGCAAUGUACUUGAUAUUGUUUCUUCGGAAAGUGCACUGUGUGCUCAUUACCGUUGACAUGGAAAGUGACAUUGCCUUUGUUGCAAUCUAUAACAGCCCCUGCAGUGUUUAAAAAGGGUCUUCCGAGGAUGACAGCCAUGGAAUCGUCCUCGGGAAUAUCCAAGAUAACAAAGUCUGUUAAGAUAGUGGUGUUAGCAACCACAACAGGCACAUCCUCGCAAAUGCCGAUAGGGAAAGCAGUUGAUUUGUCGGCCAUUUGCAGAGAAAUUUUAGUGGGUGUCAACUUAUCCAACUCAAGUCUACGAUAAAGAGAGAGCGACAUAACACUAACACUGGCUCCAAGGUCACAUAAGGCAGUUCUUACAUAGUUUCCUUUAAUGGAGCAAGGUAUAGUGGGCACUCCGGGAUCACCAAGUUUCUUAGGAGUUCCACCUUUAAAAGUGUAAUUGGCAAGCAUGGUGGAGAUCUCAAGAUUUGGUAUCUUCCGUUUAUUAGUCACGAUACCUUUCAUGUACUUGGCAUACGGAGACAUCUUGAGCAUAUCAGUUAACCGCAUCUGCAGAAAGAUGGGUCUUAUCAUCUCAAUGAAGCGCUCAAAAUCCUCAUCAUCCUUUUUCUUGGAUGGCUUAGGAGGGAAGGGCAUAGGUCUCUGAACCCAUGGCUCCCUUUCUUUACCAUGCUUCCUAGCAGUGAAGUCAUUCUUAUCGUAUCUCUUAGGUUGUGGGUUAUCAGGAUUAACUGUAGGUUCAAUCUCCACAUCCUCAUCAUUGCUAGGUUGAGCAUUAUUAUGAACAUCACUGUCCAUAUUGUCACCAGGUUCAUGUUCAUCACCAGAUUGUGUUUCUGCAUCAGACGCAGAAAUAUCAUUAGGUUCUUCAGGUGUGACAGUAUUUGGUGAACUGGCAUGUAGGUUUCUAUCAUCCUUCUUCUUCUUCUUAGGAUGACUGGGUGUAUCAGCAUUGAUUCCUUGAGAAUCUUGAUCAAUUCUCUUAGGAUGACCUUCAGGAUACAAAGGUUCCUGAGUCAUUUUGCCUCCUCUAGUAAUGACUCUGACAGAGUUGUCAUUUAAUUCAUUGAGUAAGUCAUUCUGAGCUUUAAGUACUUGUUCUACCUGAGUAGUAAUCAUAGAGGCAUGUUUACUCAGAAGCUUCAGAUCAUUGACAUUUCUGUCUACACAAGCACUUAAAUGGCUAAGCAUACGAGUACUUUGUUCCAAAUGUCUGCUAACAUAAUCAGUCAAACUCUGUUGUUUGGCAACAAAGUUGUCAAAUUCAUCAAAGCAUAGGCUACCAGGUUUAUCAAAAGGAAUAUCACUCUCAUCAAACCUAUGCAGAUAAUUCACUUCUACUACGUGUAUCGGGUUAUCGAGACCAUGGAUCUCUUCAAUAGGUGGUAGAUUUUUGACAUCUUCAGAUCUAAUGCCUUUCUCUUGCAUAGAUUUCUUGGCUUCUUGCAUAUCUUCGGGACUGAAUAAAAUAGAAUACCUCUUUUCUUAGGAGUUGGCAUAGGAGGUGGUUCGGGAAUAGUCCAAGCAUUAUCGUUGAUCAAGAUGUUAUUCGGUAGAGUCUCAGCUUGUUCUACGGUUUGUUCCCUAAAAACACAACCGACACAACUAUCUAGGUGGUCUCUAGAGGCAUCGGUAAGUCCAUUAUAGAGGAUAUCAAGUAUCUUGUUCUUCUUAAGAGGGUGAUCAGGCAAAGCAUUCUGUAGCUGGAGGAGCCUCCCCCAAGCUUGUGGAAGACUCUCUUCUUGGAGUUGAGCAAAGUUGUAUAUUUCCUGCAAGGCAGCUUGCUUCUUAUGGGCAGGGAAAUAUUUCUCACAGAAGUAAUAGACCAUCUCCUGGGGACUACUCACACAUCCAGGAGCAAGAGAGGUGAACCAGGCUUUAGCGUCAUCCUUUAGAGAGAAAGGAAACAACUUAAGGAUAUAGUAGUGGCGAAUCUUCUCCUCGUUAGUGAAAAGGGUGGCUAUAUCGUGUAGUUUGGCAAGAUGGGCUACGACCGUCUCAGACUAAUAACCGUGAAAAGGAUCAGAUUCGACUAGAGAGAUUAUCUCAGGAUCGACAGAGAAUUCAUAAUCCUUAUCGGUGAUAAAGAUAGGUGAAGUGGCAAACUUCGGGUCCUAUUUCAUCUUAGCUUCCCGAGAUUUUUCCUUCCACUUGAGAAGUAAUUUCUCAGCGUCAUAGGCAUCCUUACACGCAAGAAAAUCCUUAGCUAUCUCUCCCUCCAUAACAUAACCCUUAGGUAUAUCACGCAAUUCAUAUCUAGGAGAGCUAGAUCUAGCAGGAGCAAAAGCAGGUUCUAUCUCAAUAGUAUCGGUAGUUUCAGAAGCAUCACGAGCAUUGGCAGUAACUCUAGCAAUAUGAGCAUCAAGGAAUACCCCUAGUGGAACAUCAGGCAAAGUGGUAUCUCUAGCAGUAUCAAGCAUAGCAUCAUCAGGUAAAUUAACAUCUCUAGCAUCAUCAGGCAAAGCAGUAUCAAGCAUAGCAUCUCUAGCAGUAUCAGGCAUAGCAUCACGCAUAGUAUCAAGCAUAGCAUUUCUAGUAGUAGCAUCAUAAGCAUCAUCAAGCACAGGCAACCUAUCAAGAUUUCUAGCAGGAGGUGAUGUCGCAAACUUACUCAUAACUGAAGGUGAAUCAAGUGCAAAGCUAGAUGGCAAUUCCUUACCUCCCCUCGUAGUUGAGGGCAAGACUUUGGUCUUCGGAUCCUUCAGAUUCUUCAUAGUGAUCAUCAGAUAUAAAUCCCAAGUGACUCAUAGAAUAUAGCAAUACCUCCCCGGCAACGGCGCCAGAAAAAUGCUUGAUGUCAACUGUUCUUCCCCUUGCAACGGCACCAGAAGAAUGCUGCUAGCACUCUCCGGCAAUCGAAACGAGAAGAAUGUUGUUGACACCCACCAGCGCGUGGGAUCGUAGCAGUUUUCGAGGGUAGAGUAUUCGACCUAAAUUUGUUGGUACGCCUAUAGGAGGUGAGAGGAUACUCUCAAGUAUUAGCAGCUGAAUAUGUCAGAUUCAACCACACCUAAAAGAUUAGUAUCUGCAAGCAAAGUAGUAACAUCAAAGUAGUAUGAUAACAACGGUGUCAGAAACGAUCUGUUGACACGACAGACUAUUUCUAACGGUUGUAUCAAUGGCGCCAAGUUGCCUCGUUGACGGAAGUUGUCAGUUCCCGUCAACGUCCAGCGAACCAAAAUUGUAGCAGGUAGCAGUAGUGUAACGAGCAAUAGCAGCGACAAGGAAAAGCAGUAGUGACAGCAGUAGCAAGUAGCAACAGUAGCAAGCGACAGUAGUAGCAACAGUAGCAGCAGAGCAAGACAAGUAACAGCAGUAGUGACAGCAGUAGCAAGUAGCAACAGUAGCAAGCGACAAUAGUAGCAACAGUAGUAGCAGAGCAAGACAAGUAACAACAACAGUAGGACAAACUCGUAGGCAAUGGGUCGGUGAUUUGUUUGGAUGAUAUUCAUCAUGCAAUAGUUAUAACACGGAGAGAUAUGUGGCUAGCUCCCGUUUGUCAAUGUGAUGUAGGCAUGCAUUCCGUGUGUCAUCAUACGUGCUUAGGGAAAAGAACUUGCAUGACAUCUAUUGUCCAUCCCUCCCGUGGCAGCGGGGUCCAAAAGGAAUCUACGGGAUAUUAUGGUUCUCCUUUUAAUAAAGAACCGGACCAACGCAUUAGCACUUGGUGAACACAUGAACUCCUCAAAUUAUGGUCAUCACCGGGAGAGGUUCCGGUUAUUGUCACUCCGGGGUUGCCGGGUCAUAACACAUAGUAGGUAACUACAACUUGCAAGAUCGGAUCUAAAACACACAUAUAUUGGUGACAGCAUAAUAAUUUCAGAUCUGAAAUCAUGGCACUCGGGCCCUAGUGACAAGCAUUAAGCAUGGCAAAGUAGUAGCAACAUCAAUCUCAGAACAUAGUGGAUACUAGGGAUCAAUCCCCAUCAAAACUAACUCGAUUACAUGAUAGAUCUCAUCCUACUCAUCACCCCCAGUGAGCCUAUGAAUAGAUUACUCACAAACGACGAAGAGCUUCAUGGAAUUGGAGAGGGAAGAAGGUUGAUGAUGACUAUGGUGACGAUUUCCCCUCUCCGGAGCCCAAGACGGACUCCAGAUCUGCCCUCCAGAUGAAGAACAGGUGGUCGCGGCGCCUCCGUAUCGUAAACGCGACGAAAACUUCUAUUUUUAUUUUUUCUGGGACGAAAGUGAACUUAUAGACGUGAGGUUGGGGGCGGCAGAACCGUGUGGGCCCCACAAGCCCGCCCACCGACACCAGGGGUGGUGGUGGCGGAGCCAGGGCUUGUGGCCCACUGGCCCACCCCCUCAGUUGGAACUUGGCACAUAUAUUUUUCAUAUUUUCCAAAAAUGCUCCCCGUAAAUUUUCAGGACGUUUGGAGAACUUUGAUUUCUGCACAAAAAUAACACCAAGGCAAUUUUGCUGAAAACAGCGUCAGUCCAGGUUAGUUCCAUUCAAAUCAUGCAAAUUAGAGUCCAAAACAAGGGCAAAAGAGUUUGUAAAAGUAGAUACGAUGGAGACGUAUCAACAAUCAACGCACUCGCAUCAAAAGACCUUUACCUGUACCUGCAACUAGUGUUGUAGUAUUCUGUGAGCCACAGGGGCCUCAACAAUCUCAUUUCCAAAGGUAUAAAGACUAGCAAAGCUUAUUAGGUGAGGUAUGGUUAAGUGGUGAAGCUGCAGCAAGUGACUAAUCAUUUAUUGAGGUGGCUAACCUACAAGUACAAGAAUAAAGAGGGGAAUAUCUACGCAUAGCGGACGUGAACUACUGAUGAUCAAAUGAAUGAUCCUAAACACUUACUUACGUCAAACAUAACCCCACCGUGUCCUCGAUCGGAGAAGGAACUCGCGAAAGAGACAGUCACGGUUACGCACUCAGUUGGCAUAUUUUAAUUAAGUUAACUUCAAGUUGUCUAGAACUAGUGUUAAACAAAGUUUCCACGUUGCCACAUAACCGCGGGCACGGCUUUCCGAAAGAUUUAACCCUGCAGGGGUGCUCCAACUAGUCCAUCACAAAUUACCACAAGCCGCAUAGAAAUCCUCGAUCACGACACUCGCGAUCUCGUCGAAUUCCUUAGUGGAAAACCUCAACUCUGAGAUUACCCAAACCAUCAUCGGAAUCCCGAUGCACAAGAUAUCUCGUAAAAGGUAAAACUAAUCCAGCAAGGCCGCCCGACGUGUCGACGAUCCCGAUAGGAGCCGCGUAUCUCGUUCUCAGCACACGACGGAUGAGCUAGACGUCGGGAUCGCUAAGCCCUGGGUGACCAGGGGGCACCGGACAUCGUUCAGGUGGGACCAACACUUAGUGCAAUUUUAUUAGGUUAUUAGGCAAAUGUAGUACCAAAGUUGGGCCUUGCCAGACCAGCUUUAAUCUAAAACUAAUUAUAAAGGGGGUCCCCAUAACAACCCCGAUCGUGUUAGGAGCGCUAAAAUAUGGAACAUAACACCGGUAGCGGAUACUAAGGGGGCAAAGGUGGAACAAAACACUAGGCUAGAAAGGCCGAGCCUUACACCUUUUGCCAAGUAUAUAGGUGCAUUAANNNNNNNNNNNNNNNNNNNNNNNNNNNNNNNNNNNNNNNNNNNNNNNNNNNNNNNNNNNNNNNNNNNNNNNNNNNNNNNNNNNNNNNNNNNNNNNNNNNNNNNNNNNNNNNNNNNNNNNNNNNNNNNNNNNNNNNNNNNNNNNNNNNNNNNNNNNNNNNNNNNNNNNNNNNNNNNNNNNNNNNNNNNNNNNNNNNNNNNNNNNNNNNNNNNNNNNNNNNNNNNNNNNNNNNNNNNNNNNNNNNNNNNNNNNNNNNNNNNNNNNNNNNNNNNNNNNNNNNNNNNNNNNNNNNNNNNNNNNNNNNNNNNNNNNNNNNNNNNNNNNNNNNNNNNNNNNUGGUAGGCAACGAGACAUAGCGACAGAAACGAUAAUACUAGCAUGUCAAUGAUAGUAAUGGUAUCUGGGGAAAUGGUCAUCUUCCCUGAGAUCCCGCUUGGAAGAAGAAUGACUCCGUGAAGCAGACGAACCGAUGUAGUCGAACGGGUCCUCACUUUCUGACACGCUUGCGGAACUCUAUCGAGACGAAGGAAACCGGAAACAAGCAUCAACACACGAUAUUCACCACGGCAUAUGCACGACAAGAUGCAAUCCACAUAUGAUGCAUGAGCAGCUAAAAAUAAAUGCNNNNNNNNNNNNNNNNNNNNNNNNNNNNNNNNNNNNNNNNNNNNNNNNNNNNNNNNNNNNNNNNNNNNNNNNNNNNNNNNNNNNNNNNNNNNNNNNNNNNNNNNNNNNNNNNNNNNNNNNNNNNNNNNNNNNNNNNNNNGCUAAAAAUAAAUGCAAGACAUAGCAUGACAAUUCACACAAUCAGACACUACACAUUAAGUGAAGUUCAAUAUGCAACGAGUUGCAUAUUGACGAAACUCCACAUACGAAUUAUUUAAUUUCAUCCCGGUCAGGUACACGGCAAUAUUAAAUGUGGUUAAACAUGGCAAGAGGUGAGGCGUAAUUAAACUACCUAUCUAGGCAUUUUAAAUGAGGUCGGAAAUGACAUAUAGCACCUCCGAGGCGACCUCACAUGUUAAUUUAUAAUUCAGUCCAGAUCUGAACUAACACGUUUAAAUGUUUGUUAAACAGCAAAACAAAUAGGUUCACAUGAUUCUACGUGUCGUUACAUGCAAUUUACACAUAGANCCACAGUUUAUGAAAGUGCAGUUUUCGAUCUGAAGGCAUAUUGACAGUAGCAAAACCAUAAGCUACAGGACUCCAAAUGGCAUGAAACUUCACAACAUGCUAUAGAAUCCUAAAGUCUACAACUAACUCCAUUGUACCAACCUCUAAAGACCUACAGAUCACCAGAUAAACUCAUGCAAAGACAACAACAAAAUAUAACAGAUUUCAGACUUAGAAAUAUUUCAGCAUUUCCAAAACAACACUAUUUCCUAGCAAGUAGAGAACAAGCAAACCACACCUAAACAUGGAUUUCUAUUGCAACCAAAAUUAUCUGGGGCUAGUUUACACAUCCAAGGGCAUAUCUCUAGUUGAAAACUCCUUCCUAUCAUGUACGGAAUAAAUCACACAAAAUAAACAAAAGAGCAACAUGGCAAAAUAUCACGCAAACUAACUUGCUCAAAAGCUAAAAAUAAAUGCACAGUUAAAUCCUAUGGAUUUUUUUACCCCGAAAACAUAUAUAACAUGAAUAAAAACAAUGCCACACGUAUAUGCGGGAAUAUGUCCUAAACACGGUAUAGCAAACUAGCUACGGAAUCCCUCAUGGAAAAAUACAAUCAACUACUCUAAAAUACAUGAUAAAAGGGUUCCUAAAACAUGAGCAUUUUAUCUACGACACUCGAGAAAUCCGGACACGCACGAGAACUAACUACGGAACAAGAACAUAAUAGGACAUCACGCGUUUCUAGGCAUUUCGCGGUUCAAACUACUUCAAACAUUUAUGCAAGUUGCAAAUUCGUAACCUACGCGAAAUUCUACACGAGUUCCAUAUAUAACACACCUCGAUCCGACUUACGGUUUAGAAACUACCGGCAUUUUAAAACUAGCUAUUUUCCUGAAACUAAAUAAAAACGAAAUCCUAAAAAAAUAGAUAACGGGCCUAAUCUGAACAUGGCCCAACAGGAGCUUGGGCGCAAGAUAGCAAGGCUUCGCCGGCGGCGCACACUAGAGGGCGAGGGGGUUGCUCACCUCGGGCUCAGCCCAAAAGGCUUGGAGAGGGGGAGCUGGAGGGGCCAGCGCUCCUGGGCCGGUUGGGGUGCUGCUGGGCCGGCGCGGGCGAGACCGGUCAACGGGCGGCUCACGAGGGGCUCCCUCGUCCUCCCGAUCCCGAUCGAGGCGAGGGCACGACGGCGGCGGGAGCCCGACCGGCGGGGCUGCAGCCGGUGGCCGCGCGACGGGAGACGGGCGGGGCGGCGCUGCACAAGGAGGCGGAGGCCCAUGGCGCGGCGGCUGCUGCGAGCUGACGGCGGAGGGAGGCGGCUCCAGGGCGGCGGCUGAUGGCCGAUGGCGGGGAUGGCGUCGGUCGGGGCUACGAGAUCCGGCGAUGGGGCGGUCGGAUCUGGACGGGAGGAGGACCGGGACGACACUGCUCCAGCAAGCUCGCGACCGGCGGGACCGAGGGCUUCGGCCGGCUUCCCACGGGAAGACGAGGAGGAGGAGCUCGGGAGGCUGCCAUGGGAGGAGGAGAAGCACGGCCAGCUCGGUCUAGCGACGGCAUGCCGGAUGGGCCUCGCACGGGUCCGAUCUGGGCUCGGCGGGCCUGGCUAGUGGGAGGAGAGAGAGAGGGUAGGCUAGGGUUUGGUGGGGCUGCGCGGAAAACGAGGAGGAGAGUGGGAGGCUGAAUAAAUUGAUCUGGGGGUCUAUUUUAGACAAAAGGGGGGCUUGGUUUAGCGGUUUUUCGCCCCGGUUUCAACCGCGCGGUCGGAAUCGAACAAUUCCGAACGCGGGAUGGGCUAAGUGGCCAUGUAGAGUAGGUUAGCCGGGGAAGAGAGGGAAACGGUGUGGCGCGGCAACGCGAUUUAAAAUACCGGAAAACGUGUGACGAUAGACCGGAUACGGUGCCGCUAAGGUCGACGGUUCGGGUACCACACGGACUCCGAUUGCGACGAAAUUUGACAGGCGGUCUACCUAUAACUAAUAAAGACCGCACGCCAAGUUUCAACUCAGUCAGAGAAUAUUUUGCACACACUUUUAAAACAGGGUUUUGACGAUGCCGCGGGCGCGUGCGAGUGCGGUCGGGCUCAGAACGGACAACGACAAGAACCGGCAACUGACAACGGAUGCGAGUUUGAAAACUGGCGGCAACGGAGAUGCCGAUGCAAUGCGGAUGAUGCGCAUGAUGCGAUGACGAUGCGACAAAUAAAAUAAGACAUACGGCGAAAACGGAAUAAAGGGGGAAUCUUCUGGAACGUCGGUCUCGGGUUUGUCACAAGUAGUGACAGAGUAACAGUAGCAGCAGUGAUAGCAGUAGCAACAGAGUAACGUAGCAAGGACCAGUAGGAAAAACUCGUAGGCAUUGGAUCGGUGAUGGAUAAUUAUGCCGGAUGAUAUUCAUCAUGUAACAGUUAUAACACGGAGAGAUAUGUAACUAGCUCCAGUUCAUCAAUGUAAUGUAGGCAUGUAUUCCGUAUGUAGUCAUACGUGCUUAGGGAAAAGAACUUGCAUGACAUAUAUUGUCCAUCCCUCCCGUGGCAGCGGGGUCCUAAUGGAAACUACGAGAUAUUAAGGUUCUCCUUUUAAUAGAGAACCGGAACAAAGCAUUAGCACUUAGUGAAUACAUGAACUCCUCAUGCUAUGGUCAUCUUCGGGAGUGGUUCCGGCUAUUGUCACUUCGGUGUUGCCGGCUCAUAACACAUAGUAGGUGACUACAACUUGCAAGAUAGGAUCAAGAACACACAUAUAUUGACGAGAACAUAAUAGGUUCAGAUCUGAAAUCAUGGCACUCGGGCACUAGUGACAAGCAUUAAGCAUGGCAAAGUAGUAGAACAUCAAUCUUAGAACAUAGUUGAUACUAGGGAUCAAUCCCCGUCAAAACUAACUCGAUUACAUGAUAGAUCUCAUCCAACCCAUCACCGUCCAGCAAGCAUAUGAUGAGAUUACUCACGAACGGUGAAGAGCAUCAUGGAAUUGGUGAUGAAGGAAGGUUGGUGAUGACGAUGGCGAAGAUCUCCCCUCUUCGGAGCCCAGAACGGACUCCAGAUCUGCCCUCCAGAGGAAGAACUGGUGGUGGCGGUGCCUCCGUAUCAUAAAACGUGAUGAACUAUCCUCCUUCAUUUUUUUCCGAAUGAAAGGGACUAAAUAGAGCUGGAAUUGGAGGCGGUGGAGCUUUGAGGGCCCCACAAGCCUGCUAGGCGCGGCCAGGGGGGCGCGGCUGGUGGGCUUGUGGGCUCCUCGCUCCACUCCUCCGGUUGAUUCUUGCGCCAAUAUUUUUUAUAUAUUCCACAUAAAAUCGUCGUAAAUUUCUAGGUCAUUCCGAGAACUUUUAUUUCUGCGCAAAAACAACACCAUGGCAAUUCUGCAGAAAACAACGUUAGUCCGAGUUAGUUCCAUUCAAAUCAUGCAAAUUAGAGUCCAAAACAAGGGCAAAAGAGUUUGGGAAAGAAGAUACGACGGAGACGUAUCACAGGCUCCGGGCUUUUCGCUCUGAUCGCGGAGGGGAGUUCAACUCCAUCGAGUUCAAGGCCUAUUGUGAGAAACGUGGGGUCAAGCAUUACAAAACAACGCCCUACUCCCCCCAGGCAAAAUGGCGUAGUCGAGCGGCGAAAUGAGACGAUCGUCGAGAUGGCGAGAUGCAUGCUCAAGAGCAUGGGUGUGCCGGCGUUCUUCUGGGCCGAGGCAGUGAAGAUGGCGGUGUAUCUGUUGAACCAUGCACCGACGAGAAGCCUAGACGGUGUCACCCCAUAUGAGGCGUGAUACGUCUCCAACGUAUCUAUAAUUUUUGAUGGUUCCAUGCUAUUAUCUUUUUUUGGGACUAACUUAUUAACGCAGUGCCAAGUGUCAGUUCCUGUUUUUUCCGUGUUCUUGACCCUUUUUAGACAAGGAUUUUAAAUAGUGUCCAAACGGAAUAAAAUUUCCGAUUUUUUUUCCGGAACAGAAGAAACGCACGAGACUUGAGAACCAAGGCACGGGCCACCAGGGGACCCCACAAGACCCCUAGGCGCGGCCAGGGGCCCGCGCCUAGUAGGCUUGUGGGCCCCGUGUGGAUGGUCUGCCCUACCUCUUCCGCCUAUAAAUUCAGAAAAAAUCCAAAACUGAAGAAGAGAUCCACGAAAAUACUUUUCCACCGCCGCAAGCUUCUGUCGCUGCAAGAUCCCAUCUGGGGCACGUUCGGGUGCCCUGCUGGAGGGGGUAUUUGGAUACGGAGGGCUUCUUCAUCAACACCAUGACCUCUCCGAUGAUGCGUGAGUAGUCACCAUAGACCUUCGGGUCCAUAGCUAGUAUCUAGAUGGCCUCUUCUCUUUCUUGGAUGUUCAAUACAAAGUUCUCCAUGAUCUUCAUGGAGAUCUAUCCGAUGUAAUCUUCUUUUGCGGUAUGUUUGUCGAGAUCCGAUGAAUUGUGGAUUUAUGGUCAGAUUAUCUAUGAAUCUUCUUUGAGUUUCUUCUGAUCUCUUAUAUGCAUGAUUUCAUAUCCUUGUAAUUCUCUUCGAGUUGUGGGUUUUGUUUGGCCAACUUGAUAUGAUUCUUGCAAUGAGAGAAGUGCUUGGUUUUGGGUUCAUACUAUGUGGUGACCUCUCCUAGUGACAGAAGGGGCAGUGAGGCACGCAUCUUGUUGUUGCCAUCAAGGGUAAAAAGAUGGGGUUUUCAUCAUUGGUUUGAGUUCAUCCUUCUACAUCAUGUCAUCUUGCUUAAGGCGUUUCUCUGUUCGUCAUGAACUCAAUACACUAGAUGCAUGCUGGAUAGCGGUCGAUGUGUGGAGUAAUAGUACUAGAUGCAGAAAGUAUCGAUCUACUUGUCUCGGACGAGAUGCCUAUAUGUAUGAUCAUUGCCUUAGAUAUCGUCAUGAGUUUGUGCGGUUCUGUCAAUUGCUCGACCGUAAUUUGUUCACCCACCGUAUUAUUUUAUAUUUUGAGAGAAGCCUCUAGUGAACACUAUGGCCCCCGGGUCUACUUCACACCAUAUUUUCAGCCUUACAAUGUUACUUCGUUGCACUUUCCGCCUUCAGAUCUCACUUUGCAAUCAAUCUUGAAGGGAAUGACAACCCCUUUAUAGCGUUGGGUGCAAGCUCUUUUGUGUUUGCGCAGGUACUCUGGACUUGGCGCGAUUCUCCUACUGGAUUGAUACCUUGGGUCUCAAACUAAGGGAAAUACUUACUGCUCCUGUGCUGCAUCGCCCUUUCCUCUACAAGGGAAAAACCAACACAAGCUCAAGAGGCAGCAGAGGGAUUUCUGCCGCCGUAGCUGAAGAAUUUCUGGCGCCGUUGCCGGGGAGGAUCAAGUCAAGAACUCAUCCAAGUAAGUGUCGCAAACUCAUAUCUUGCAUUUACUUUUUUGCCUCUCGUUUUCCUCUCCCCCACUUCUCAAAAACAGAAAUUUACAAAAAUAUUUGCCUUUUUCGUUUGCCCUUUUCUCUCGCUUGCUUUCUGUUUGCUUCUGUGCUUGCUUGCUUGCUGAAGUCACCAUGACUGAAAACACCAAACUUUGUGACUUCUCGAAUACUAAUAAUAAUGAUUUUAUUAGUACUCUGAUUGCUCCCGCCACUAGUGCGGAAUCAUACGAAACCAAUGCUGCUUUGCUGAAUCUUCUUAUGAAAGAGCAAUUCUCCGGCCUUCCUAGUGAAGAUGCCGCAUCCCAUCUUAAUACCUUCAUUGAGCUUUGUGAUAUGCAAAAGAAGAAAGAUGUGGAUAAUGAUGUGAUUAAAUUGAAGCUUUUUCCUUUCUCGUUGCGAGAUCGAGCAAAAACUUGGUUUUCGUGUAUUGAUUCUUGGAAUAAGUGCAAAGAUGCUUACAUAUCCAAGUAUUUUCCGCCGGCUAAGAUUAUCUCUCUCCGUAAUGAUAUUAUGAAUUUUAAGCAACUUGAUCAUGAACAUGUUGCACAAUCUUGGGAAAGAAUGAAAUUGAUGAUUAGAAAUUGUCCCGGUCAUGGCUUGAGUCUUUGGAUGAUUACACAAAUCUUCUACGUUGGCUUGAAUUUCGCUUCUAGAAAUAUCUUGGACUCCGCCUCAGGUGGAACGUUCAUGGAAAUCACGUUAGGAGAAGCCACAAAACUCCUAGACAAUAUCAUGACGAACUACUCUCAGUGGCACAGUAAAAGGUCACCUACUAGUAAGAAGGUACACGCUAUAGAAGAAAUUAACUCGUUGAGUGCUAAGAUGGAUGAGUUAAUGAAUUUGGUUGCUAGUAGAAGUGCUCCUUUACACCCUAAUGACAUGCCCUUGUCUUCCUUGAUUGAGAGUAGCAACGCUAGCUUGGACGUUAAUUUUGUUGGUAGGAAUAAUUUUGGGAACAACAAUGCUUUUAGAGGAAACUAUGUUCCCAGGCCUUUUCCUAGUAACCCCUCUAAUAACUUUGGCAACUCCUACAACAAUACUCAUGGAAAUUACAAUAGAUUACCCUCUCAUCUAGAGAGUGAUAUCAAAGAAUUUAUCAACUCGCAAAAUAUUUUCAAUGCGUCCAUAGAGGAAAAACUACUCAAAAUUGACGAUUUGGCUAGGAGCGUUGAUAGAAUGUCUAGUGAUAUUGAUGUUUGAAAGUUAGAUGUGAUCCUCCCAAGAUCAAUAUGGAUGAAACUUGGAAAGCUAUGCGUGUUUCCAUGAGUGAGAGCAAAGAAAGAACCGCCCAAAUUCGUGCUAGACAUGAAUGGCUUAAAAGGGCGUGUUCUCGUGAUAAGAAUCACGAAGAUCUUAAAGUCCUUGGUGUGACUCCCAUUGAAUCUUUGUUUUCUUGUGUCAAACCUAAUGAUGAUGGGGCUGGGUAUGAAUCCACUUUGGUUGAAAAACACCCCAAUGAUUCGGAGUCCAUCUAUCUUGAUGUUAAAAGCAUUGAAAGUGGAGUAGAAGAUAUUAUAACCUUGAGUAGUAAUGAAACUAACACUUUGGAUUUCAAGGAAUUCAAUUAUGAUAGUUUCUCCUUGAUUGAAUGCAUUUCCUUGAUGCAAUCCAUGCUAAACUCUCCACACGCUUAUAGCCAAAACAAGGCCUUUACCGAUCAUAUCGUCGAUGCUAUGAUAAAAUCUCUUGAAGAGAAACUUGAAUUAGAAGUUUCUAUCCCUAGAAAGCUUCAUGAUGAGUGGGAACCUAUUAUCAAAAUCAAAAUCAAAAACUAUGAAUGCAAUGCUUUGUGUGAUUUGGGUGCUAGUGUUUCCGCGAUUCCAAAGUCUUUAUGUGAUGUUCUGUGUUUUAAUGAGAUUGAGGAGUGUUCUCUUAAUUUGCAUCUUGCGGAUUCUACUGUCAAGGAACCCAUGGGAAGGAUCAAUGAUGUUCUUAUUAUUGCAAAUAGGAACUAUGUACCCGUGGAUUUCAUUGUGCUUGACAUUGAUUGCAAUCCUACAUGCCCUAUCAUUCUUGGUAGACCUUUCCUAAGGACUAUCGGUGCUAUCAUCGAUAUGAAGUAAGGGAAUAUUAUAUUUCAGUUUCCUUAAAAGAAGGGCAUGGAACAUUUUCCUAGAAAUAAAAUAAGAUUGACUUAUGAAUCUAUGAUGAGGGCAACUUAUGGUUUGAGCACCAAAGACGACGAUACGUGAUUCUAUCGGCUUAUGCCUAGCUAAGGGCGUUAAAUAAUAGCGCUUGUUGGGAGGCAACCCAAUGAAUUUAUCCUUUUUUUUUGCUUCCACACCAUCAUAAUUCUGUUAUGAUUGUGUCUUUUGUGUUUUUUUUGUGUUUGAGCCAAGCAAAACCUUUAUGACUAGUCUUGGUGAUGGUUGUUUGAUCGUGCCGGAAAAAGACAGAAACUUUUCGCUCACGAAAUUAUUUUUCAUUUUUAUUCACAAUGAGGUUCUGAGUUGAUUCUUUUUGCUUUUGGUUGAUAUGCCUAUUGCGUAGGCAGUAGAUAUUUUUCAAAAUUGUUGAGGUACCAGAAGUAUACAAAGUAUACAGAUUGCUACACACUGGUGUGUUUUUGACAGAUUUUGUUUUUGUUGAGUUGGUUGCUUGUUUUGAUGAAACUACGGAUAGUAUCGGGGGGGGGGGGNNNNNNNNNNNNNNNNNNNNNNNNNNNNNNNNNNNNNNNNNNNNNNNNNNNNNNNNNNNNNNNNNNNNNNNNNNNNNNNNNNNNNNNNNNNNNNNNNNNNNNNNNNNNNNNNNNNNNNNNNNNNNNNNNNNGGGGGGGGGGGGUACUAGCCAUGGAAAAGUAAGAAUACAGUUAUCUAACACCAAUAUGAAUAUAAAUCAAGUUUUCCACAGUACCUAAAGAGGUGGUAGUUUGUUUUCUUGUGCUAAUGAUAUCACGAGUUUAUGUUUAAGUUUUGUGUUGUGAAGUUUUCAAGUUUUGGGUGAUGUUCUCAUGGACAAAGGGAUAAAGAGUGGAAAGAGCUCAAGCUUGGGGAUUCCCAAGAAAUCCUAAGCCAAAUUCAAGGACACCAAAAAGCCUAAGCUUCAGGAUGCCCCGGGAAGGCAUCCCCUCUUUCGUCUUCAAUCCAUCGGUAACAUUACUUGGAGCUAUAUUUUUAUUCACCACAUGAUAUGUGCUUUGCUUGGAGCGUCUUGUAUCAUAGGAGUCUUUUCUUUUUGUUGUGUCACAAUCAUCCUUGCUGAACACAUUUUGAGAGAGACAUGCACUCAUCGUGAAUUUACUAGAUGCUCAUCGUGCUUCACUUAUAUCUUUUGAGCUAGAUAAUUUUUGCUCUAUGUGCUUCACUUAGAUAUUUUAGAGCACGGUGGUGCGUGACUUGGUAGGGUGUUUGUGCUAUGAAAGUAGUCCCAAAGGUGAUAGGUACCCAAAGAGGAUACAAAAUACUUCCAUCUUCAUGUGCAUUGAGUAGAAAGAAAAGUUUGAUCCCUCUCAAUUAGUUUUGAGACGUGGAUUUGGUAAUAUUAAGAGUUAUGUUAGUAGGGUGUUGUGAAUCUAGAAAUACUUGUGUUGAAGUUAGUGAUUCCUGUAACAUGCACGUAUGGUGAACCGCUAUGUCAGGAAGUCGGAGCAUAAUUGAUCUAUUGAUUGUCAUCCUUUGUGUUGCGGUCGGGAUCACGCGAUGGUUAACACCUACCAACCCUUCCCCUAGGAGUAUGCGUUUAGCACUUUGUUUCAAUUACUAAUAAAAACUUUCGCAACAAGUAUCUGAGUUCUUCAUGACUAAUGUGAGUCCAUGGUAUAGAUGCACUUUCACCUUCCGCCAUUGCUAGCCUCUCUAGUACUGCGCAAUUUUUGCCGGUGCACAAACCCACCAUAUGCCCACCUCAAAACAGCCACCAUACCUACCUACUAUGGCAUUUUCAUAGCCAUUCCGAGAUAUAUUGCCAUGCAACUCCCAUCGUUCCGCCUCAUGACUUGUGCCGUCACUCUCAUAUUGCCAUUGCAUGAUCGUAAGACAGCUAGCGAGUUGUUUCAACAUCAUACGCUGAUACAUCUCCAUCGUAUCUACUUUUCCAAACUCUUUUGACCUUGAUUUGGACUCUAAUUUGCAUUAUUUGAAUGGAACUGACCUGGACUAACGUUGUUUUCAGCAGAAUUGCCAUGGUGUUGUUUUUGGGCAGAAAUAAAAGUUCUCGGAAUGACCCGGAAAUUUACGGAGAAUUUUUGUGGAAUAUAUAAAAAAAUACUGGUUACUGUUACUCUGUUGCUACUGCUGUUACUUUGCUGCUACUGCUGUCACUUUCUUGCUACCGGUUACCAUUGCUACUAUUGCUAUCACACUACCUUGUUACUGAUACUUUGCUGCAGAUACUAAAUCUUUCAGGUGUGGUUGAAUUGAAAACUCAACUGCUAAUACUUGAGAAUAUUCUUUGGCUUCCCCUUGAGUCGAAUCAAUAAAUUUUGGUUGAAUACUCUACCCUCGAAAACUGUUGCGAUCCCCUGUACUUGUGGGUUAUCAAGACCUUUUUCUGGCGCCGUUGCCGGGGAGGCACAACUAUAUUCUCUGAGUCACUUGGGAUUUACGUCUGCUGAUCACUACGAGGAAUCCGAAAGAUCCAAGAACUAAAGUCUUGCCCUCAACUACGAGGACAUGUACGGAACUGCCAUCUAGCUCUGCACUUGAUUCACCUUCAGUUAUGAGUAAGUUUGCGACACCACCUCCUGCUAGAAAUCUUGAUAUGUCGCCUGUGCUUGAUGAUGUUACUUCUGCUGCCCAUGAUGCUUAUGAUGAUACUAUGCUUGAUACUGCUUUGCCACUAGGUGCCCUUGAUGCCCAAAUUGCUAGAGUUGCUGCUAGAUGUGAUGAUACUUCUGAAACUACUGAUACUAUUGAAGUAGAACCUCCUAUUUUUCCUGCUAGAACUAGCUCUCCUAGAUAUGAAUUGCCUGAUAUGCAUGAGUGUUAUGUUAUGGAGGGAGAGAUAACUGAGGACUUUCUUUCUUGUAAGGAUAGCUAUGAUGUUGAGAAAUUACUGCUCAAGUGGAAAGAAAAAUCUCUGAACGCUAGGAUGAAAUACGACCCGAAGUUUGCUACUUCGCCUAUCUUUGUGACCGAUAAGGAUUAUGAAUUCUCUGUCGACCCUGAGUUAAUCACUCUGGUCGAAUCUGAUCCUUUUCACGGUUAUGAGUCUGAAACGGUUGUAGCCCAUCUUACCAAACUGCACGAUAUAGCCACCCUAUUCACUAGUGAGGAAAAGAUCCGCCACUACUAUAUACUCAAGUUGUUUCCUUUCUCACUAAAGGAUGAUGCUAAGACAUGGUUCACUUCUCUUGCUCCUGGUUGUGUGUGUGUAGCCCCCAGGUUAUGAUCUACUACUUCUCCAAGAAAUAUUUCCCUGCCCAUAAGAAGCAAGCUGCCUUGCAGGAAAUAUACAACUUUGCACAAGUUGAAGAAGAGAGUCUCCCACAAGCUUGGGGGAGGCACGUCCAGCUACUAAAUGCUUCGCCUGAUCACCCUCUUGAGAAGAAUGAAAUACUUGAUAUCUUCUAUAAUGGGACCUUUGAAUGCCCUAUACCUCCUGUUAAGAUGAAGUAUGAUUUGCUUGUUCGGAAUAUCCACAUCCCCAUUGAAAAGACCUCGAUGAUGCCUACAGGGGGGUGGGUGAAUAGGCUAUUNGGGUAUAUAUAGUGGGGAGAGUAAAACAGCCGUUGGGGACACUUUAAGUCACACAGGGGUCGGACAUCCGGCAGUUCACGGAUGUCCGGGCGUCCACAAGGGGUCGGACGUCCGACAGGGGUCGGACGUCCGAGGGUUGUAAAUAUAUCUGGAACCAGUGUGGAGUUGAACAUGGACCGGUCGUCCGGAGAAGUCCGGAAGUCCGAGUUAUUCGAUUCAAACUUCUGUGGUGCACGAUUCUGGAUUUCCGAAAGGGGACGGACGUCCGGCCCUCGGACGUCCGGAGGGAGCCGGAAGUCCGAGUUGUAUGGCUCAAGUUUCUCUGGUGCAAAGCUCCGGAUUUCCGAAGCUGGUCGGACGUCCGACCCUCGGACGUCCCGAGGGAGCCGAAAGUCCGAGUUAUAUGGCUCAAGUUUCUCUGGUGCAUAGUUCCGGAUUUCCGAAGCAGUCGGUCGUCCGGCCCUCGGACGUCCGGAGGAAGCCGGAUGUCCGAGGCAUGUGUUCUGUUUUCAGAUAACAGCAGAGCAGUGGAGAUGUGGUCUGAGCAGAAACAGUGGAGACGUAGUUUGAGCAAGUUCAUCGCAAAACCUGUGAUCCCCUCUUAAUAGUGCGGGAUCCCUAAGGACUCAAGAAUCAUAAAAGGGUACUGAUGAUCCAUACUUGACUGUAUACUUUUAUUCGCUCAUCAUCACUCCGCACAACUAACGUCAAAGGAACUGAUACCUUUGAGUUAGCCCUUUCACUUGAGCUUGAUGUUGUUGUUCCUUCUUGGCUCAAGUUGAAAGCAAGACAUGAUGAAGUCUUCAAGUAGCUCUCCCAUACACAAUGUGGAAAGCCUAGCUUAUUUAUUCAUCUUCAUUUGUCCACCAUGUGAGCAUCCACAAGAAUCAAGCAUGUAGUGCACACGAAUGCUUAUCUUGAUCUUGUCCUUGUUAGCACAUGAGCUUGUCCUUAUCAACACAUGAUCUUUAACAAUAGUUUCAAUGAUAUAUUCAUGUUGAUCCACUUGAACUUGCACACCACAAUCUUGAUGACGAUCACCACUUGACGUCAUCCUUCAUGGGUUGUAUGAGAUCUUCCUUUUGACGCAAGCCCAUGGAAGCACACCUAACCCCCACAUAGGACUCUCACAAAGACCAUGGGUUAGUACACAAACACGUAAUGGACAAUGCUUACCAUACCAUGGGAUCACUUGAUCCCUCUCGGUACAUCUUAUACGCUUUGUGUGUUGAUCAUCUUGAUUUACUCUUUGUCUAAGAUCUUGAUCAACCUAGUGUCUCUAUGACCAUUCUUUGGAUAAUACCUUGAAUACCAUCUUGGUCAUCAUAUAAACUCCUUGAACCCAACAGAUGUACUUCAACAAGUGCCUAUGGACAAAUCCUAUAAAUAUAACUUAAGGCAACCAUUAGCCCAUAGGAAUUGUCAUCAAUUACCAAAACCACAUAUGGAGAUAUAUGCUCUAACAAUCUCCCCCAUUUUGGUAAUUGAAGACAACCACUUCAAGAGAGUUUAUAUAAGGAAAUAAGCAUAACCAAGCGCACACAUACAAGGUAAUAAUGCAUGUGUGCAAGAUGUAAACCCUCUAAACAUAUCCAAAGUAAAGUCUCUAAACUUCUCCCCCAUUGGCAUCGAUUGCCAAAAUGGACGAAAAGUUUAGAAAGCCAAUAUAGUAGGUGGUCCUCCAAAAAGUGUGUACUUCUUAGCAAAUGAGUGCAGAGAAAUACACAAAUACAAUGAUAAGUAGUUGGAGGAAAACAAACUAUAUUGAGGUCCCAAAGAUUGCAAAUAAAAGGAUCGUAUGCCACAAAGACAUACAAAAAUAGAGGCAAGCAAUCAAAAGAUUCCAGAUGGAACAAACAAUCAUAUGGUCCUUCGAACCACAUGAAUAAAAGAUGUUAUGAUAAAGGCAACAGAGUGUUUUAUCAUAAACUAGAGAAGCUCCCCAUGAUUUGUGCACUAAUACGAGAUUUUUGUAUUUGAUACAGGUGCACAAAAUAGGAUCUUUGCUCCCCCAAAAUGAACAAAAACACACAACGAGUGCAAGAAGAUAGAUGAGACAAUAAGCAUAUCAAUUGCACAAAACAAAUGGUUGAGCAACAUGUAAAAGAAGCAACUUAAGAAUAGGCUCAACCAAAGUAAUGUGUGUGAGUCAUGGCAAAGCACUUGAGAAGACUAAGAUAAGGAUGAGCAUUACUCAUCAACAUAGUCUUGAUGAAAUGAGAUACAGAGUGCAAGACAUAUCAUUCCCACACACACAUACUAGAAAAUGGGUUCACAAGCUUACUAAUAAACAAAAUAAGAACCAAUGCUUGUGACAACCCAUUGUGAAGAUAGGAAGUACGAACCUUGUCAAGAGGAGGGAUACUAAUUGAAAUGGCAAAACCCUCAUCAAGACAAGCAUGAGGAAAAAUAAUCUUCACGGCCAAAAGAGUGCAUCAAGAUGUAGGAAAAUAAGAUACGCACUCAAAACAAAUCCUUUCACGAAGCCACCAAAAACUGAAAAAGGAAAUGCAACGAUGGACGUGAAAGAAAAGAGGAUAUAAAUUAGAGAUGUAACUUCUCUCAUGUGUAGAAGAUUCUAAGUAGAAGACAAUCAUGAUGAUAUAUAUCCACAAAGAAGGAUGUACACACGAAAUGGUUACAAGAAGGAACAAACUAGAUAUCCAAAAGGAAGUCAUAAAUAUAUCAAUGAGAUCUUUUGCUUGGAAGCAUAGCACAUGGCCUAAUAUUUUCUUAUUGUACAAUAUGAACUUCCAACAUACGAACAUCAAAGACAUCCCAACUAGUAGUAAGACAUCAUCGUUCGGAUGCUUUGAGAAAGCAAAAAAGUACUACAAGAACGAAUCAAGAGAUUCAUGCCAUGAUGCAACGUGGAAAAGAAAAGACAGGUUUGGGCCUUUGCAAGAAAAGAAUGCAUGAAGUGGAUACUUGUUACCGAGACAACAUUGGAUUGAUGUAGUAGAUAGUUGUUCUUUGAUCAUCCUAACUUGGCUCCAAUAAUCACAUGGUCUCAACACCUUCCUUAUAGGUGAGCCGAGCAUCCGAUGCAUCUCCAGUUGUUCCUGGAACAACAAAACAAACAAAAUGGUGCCCAAACUCAUUGGGACCAAAGAGUUAGAAAACCAGCAAUACAUAGGACAAACUCCACAUACAUAUGUGCAUAUAGAUAUGAAUUUGAAUUUCAUGCACACUUUAGCCAAUUUAUGACAAGGUGGAGUUUCCCCUAUAUAUUGGGUCAAAGAAGGAAAGCAAGCAAAAGAAGUUGUAUAUAGUAGAUAUGCAUGCUCAAGACUCUCAAGAAUCAACUCAACACAAAGUUGAUAAGUCACCAAAAGACAAGGUAUCAAGUGAUAAUAAGAUCUUAAACAAAAAAAGAACUAUCACUUGAAGGAUAUCAAUUAAAAGAUACCUCAAGGAAUGAGAUAUCUAUUGACACAUGCCAAAUAAAAGGAAACAAGAAAUCAAUUGAAGGAAAACAAACACGAGGUAUCUAAUUUCCAAAAGAGAGCUAGGUUCCAACAAACCAAGCCCUCGACAAAUUUUCAUGAUGGCACAAAGCAUCAUAAAGAGCAAGACUUGCCUCCCAUCAACACACACUUGAUGGGGAUCAAAAGAUUUUAUGAUGGGUGAAUAAAGAGAGUGUUCUAAAGAAAAUAGGAUAGCUCCCCCAAGGGACGUGCAUUAUAUAGAAUUUGCAUUUAAAUACAAAAUGCACACGAUGGGAUCAUCACGUUCUCUAUAUCCAUAAAAACACUAGACAUGUUAAAAUAGAUCCAUAAGAGGCAAGGAAGACAAACAAAACACAAAAUCCAAUGUAAAGACGAUUAGCAAUUCCUAUCACAUGAUGGGAAUACCAAUUGUCAAGGACAAGAAGUAUUUUGGAAGUGAUAAUCAUUGGUAGAUCGCAAAUAUAUCCAAGAUCAUCUUUACCCAUAAAACGCAAGCAAAUGACACUUGUAGCGCUAACAUGCCACCUAGGAACAAGAUAAUUUACAAUAUCAACACUAAGUGGCAACACCUCAAAUGUACAUAUUUUCUAGGUUUGUAAUAUGCACAUAGCAUAUUACUCCCCCAUAAUGUGAUAAACCAACAAUAUUAACAAGUGGCAAAUUGAAACCAACAAGAGAUAAUUAAUGGACCAUAUAGAAUUUGAAUUUCUCAUGAGUAAGACAUACCACAUAGAAACUACAUAAUCUUGAAAUAUCAAAACUAAGUGGUAUUCCCCAUGUAUACACAUUUAUAGGAUUGUGAGGUGUGCAAAGCACAUCACUCCCCCACAAUGGGAUAAUCCAUUAGUCUCUCACAAGAGCCAACAAAAAUACAAACAAGAUGCAAAAGGCUCAAUACAAGACCCACAUGUACAUGAUAUGCAAACCAACAUACACAUACUCGAUUACUCAAGAUAAGCAAGUUGGAAGCACAACAUAUACAAACGUAUGCAAGGUACAAAACCACAACAUGCAAAGGGGCAAGCACCUAACAAUGUAAGCAGUUUAAGUACAAGUUACCGUAAGGAGGCACAUUGGAUAUAAGAUAGAAACUCGAUAAUCCAACUGACUUGGCUUGAGAUAAUAUGAAUGAUGAAGACCCCUUAAUUCUUCAUUAUGUAUCCAAGUCUCUAAUGUCCUCCAUAGUCACCUAUUUAUCAAGUUUGAGCUUGUUGGUCCCCAACUAUGUUGGGUCCUAAGAGGUUAAUCACAAUAGGCUUGGCAACCCAAAUGGUUCUUUUCUUGACAGCAUUUUGAGUACCAACAAACUUGGCAAACACAUUGCCAACCUUAUCCUUCCCAAGGGAAUAGAUAUCAUCAAUAGUGAUUGGGUUGGAUAAGUUACCUCUUGUGCAAGACAAAGCGACGUGACCCUUCUCACGACAUAAGUAGCAACAUCUACCCUUUGCUUUAUUCCCAGUUAAUUUCUCACCUCGGGGAGUGUUGGCUUGGGUCUUAUUGGGAAGAGGCCUUCCUUCAACUUGUAGCUGAAUAUGUGAUUGAGUUUGUGGCCGCUUCCCUUGUUGCUUGUGACUUUGAGACUUCGUCUUCAGAGGGCAAGAUUUAACAUGGUGCCCUUUAACUUUGCACUUGAAGCAAAUGAUUUUGGCCGAAUUCUUGACUUGUUCUAGGCCCCUCUUGUUCUUGUUUGAGUUUACUCCAACAUCAUUUUUGUCAUUCGGAGACGUUUGCUCACACAGGACGUUGUUGAGUGUGGACAUCUCUUCAUGACACUGUUCCAAGUCUUUCUUGAAAGAAGUGACUUGGGCCUUGAGCUCUUCGAUUUCCUCUGCACGGUUAGUAUCAAUGCAAGUACUAGAGGAAGUGUAAGCUUCAAUGUUAGAGCAACAAGGCAAGGAAAGUAAUUCAUCACACGAGGUAGCAACAUUAUGAGUAGACGAAUUACGAGGACUAGCAUAUGGAAAUAUAGUACUUUGACUAGAAGUAGUGCCAUUGUCCACAUGAGGCUCACUUGAUGUUACCUUGGUGAUGAUAGCCUCAUGAGCUAACUUUUGCACAUUAUGGGAUGUUAGAAGAUCGGCAUGAGAUCUUGUGAGCAUUACAUGGUUUUCUUCCAACUUCCCAUAAUUGCUAGUUAGUAAAUCAAGUUGAGCACGUAGCUCAACAUUCUCCUUCAAUGUUGAUACUUCAAAAGAGAUAGGGUUAGAUGUACAAGUAUCAUCAACAAUAUGAGAGGAGUAAGUAGCGAUUAGAGACUUCUCAUCAGUAGAUUGAAGCUCCUCAUAGAUCUUAGAGGUUUUGACGAGCUCUCCCUUGACAUUCUUGCAUUCAAGGAGAAGGACCUCAAAAUCCCUUUUAAGUUUAUCAUGAGUAACUUCAAUCUCUCCUUUUGAAGAUCUUAAGUCUCUACAUGCUUGAUGACUCUUUUGAAGUUCAUGUUCAAGUUGUUCACUUUUAGCUUGUUCAUGAUUAAGUGAAUCGUUACAAUUUUCAAAGUAAGCAAGAACAUCUUGGAACCUUUGAAGAGCGUUACUUUUAGCUUUAUGAAGAAUUUUACUGAUCACAUAGAUAUUUUCAGUCAAGUCAUCAUCAUCAUCCUCAUCGCAAAUAUCAUCGUUAUUGCACAGGGAAGAUGAUACCUCAUUAUUACCUCUUGCCAUGAGGCACAUGUGAACUGGAGGAGUUGAUGAUGAUUCUUUUGGUGAAUCAGAUUCUUCAUUAGUCAAAAGUACUUCAUAUUUCUUGAUUUCCCCUAAAUGAUUAGUCAUAAACAACUAGGGAGAAAUAAGAUAUUUUGAUCAAGAGGGCAUGGGAGAGCAGGCAUAUCACCACAGACAUUUUUCGAGGGAUCUUUAGGUGAAAUGCAUGACCUAUCAACACAAUAAUUUACACUAUGUGUGGUGCUAGAUAUGCUCAUGCCCAUAGAGGCUAUGACAUUUUCAUCAACAUAUAUUUCUUCACUCACCAUGUCAUUACCUUGUGAGAUUGAAGAUGCUGAGGUGUGCAAGCAAUCGGAUAUGGAAGUAGUGGUGGACUCUUUAUGAUCGAAAAGAUUGAAGAUAUCAUGCACCAACUCCUUCAUCAUAAUAUCGUCUUCAUCAAGAUUGGACCCACCAUAUAUAUCUUCAAGUUUAGUCCAAACUUCAUGAGCUGACUUGCAAGUCGAGAUAGACUUAAACACUUCAGGACUUAUGGUUCGAUGAAUGGCAAGAAAAGCCUCACAAUCAAGAUACAUUUCAUUAGUAGAUGAAGAUGCAUCAUCCUUUUUGUCAGCAAUCCCUACAAGAACAAUUCGUAAAGUAUUUGGGCCCAUGGUCCAAAAGUGAUGAAGCAUACGGAUUCUCAAUAGGGUAUAAUUUGUGCCAUCAAAGUCAAAGGUGCCAUUGUGCACUAAUCCAAUAGUCGACAUCAAUACUCUCUAGGUCGUGAAACCUAAUUAAAGAGAGACCUUCCUCUGAUACCAAUUUAAAAGACCUCGAUGACGCCUAGAGGGGCGGGGGUGAAUAGGCUAUUUAAAAACUUCUUCGGAUUUGGCUUAAACCUAAUGCGGAAAUAAACUAAGAGGAUACUUGUCAAGCACAAAUCCUAAAUGCACUAGGCACUGCAACGUGUAUCAACAACACGAUCUACCAAGAUGGACACAAUAUAGUUACUAACAAGCCCAAGUAAGUUACACAAGCUUACUUGAGUUAUAUCACACGACAAGUAGGUGAACGACACAAGAUACUAGAUCACACUAUAGCACACGAUAUAUCAAAAGCUGCAAGUGUGAACUUGUGGAUAUAGAGGGUAUGCUUGAAUGAUUAAUCUUGUACAAGAAAUAGACAACACAAUAUAAUGAGCACAAGCAAUAUGCAAUGUAUGUAUGCUCAAGUAACACAAGUAAACCACAAGUAAGGAGUUAGGGUUAAGGAUAACCAAGGUCACUGAGACGAAGAUGUAUCCCUAUGUUCACUUCCUUGGAGGGAAGCUAGUCACCGUUAGAGAGGUGGAUGUUACCACGAAGGCACACCAACGCCAUGAAGGCUCACCCUAUUCUCCCUUUGAGAUAACACCACGAAGGCGUUUCUCAACCACUAUUGGUAAGCCUUUGAGGUGGCUCCCAAACCCUCACAAACUUUUCCGGGGGAAAUCACACAGAUUGAUUCCUCUCCGAAGAACUCCUACCGCCUAGGAGUCUCCAACCUCCAAGAGUAACAAGAUCACGGGGAAUACUCAAAACUUGCUCAAAUCUCAAAUAGCUUGGGUUGAGAGGAGGAGAGGGAGACGAUCUAUCUUUUGAUUGGAACAACUAUCAAAGGGGCUCACAUAUGCUCUUGGGAUCUAAGAUUUGGUGUGAGCAAAUGUGUGUGAGGUAGAAAUGUGUUCUUAUGAGGAUAAGGCUGUGUUGGGCACCCUCUCACGAAGUGGGAGGGGGGUAUAUAUAGUGGGAGAGUAAGACAGCCAUUGGGGACACUUUAAGUCACACACGGGUCGGACAUCCGGCAGUUCACGGAUGUCCGGGCGUCCACAAGGGGUCAGACGUCCGACAGGGGUCGGACGUCCGAGGGCUGUAAAUAUAUCUGGAACCACUGUGGAGUUAAACAGGGACCAGUCGUCCGGAGAAGGCCGGAAGUCCGAGUUAUUCGACUCAAACUUCUGUGGUGCACGAUUCCGGAUUUCCGAAAGGGGACAGACGUCCGGAGGGAGCCGGAAGUCCGAGUAAUAUGGCUCAAGUUUCUCUGGUGCAUAGUUCCGGAUUUCCGAAGCAGUCGGUCGUCCGGCCCUCGGACGUCCGGAGGAAGCCGGAUGUCCGAGGCAUGUGUUCUGUUUUCAGAUAACAGCAGAGCAGUGGAGAUGUGGUCUGAGCAGAAACAGUGGAGACGUAGUUUGAGCAAGUUCAUCGCAAAACCUGUGAUCCCCUCUUAAUAGUGCGGGAUCCCUAAGGACUCAAGAAUCAUAAAAGGGUACUGAUGAUCCAUACUUGAGUGUAUACUUUUACUCGCUCAUCAUCACUCCGCACAACUAAUGUCAAAGGAACUGAUACCUUUGACUUAGCCCUUUCACUUGAGCUUGAUGUUGUUCUUCCUUCUUGGCUCAAGUUGAAAGCAAGACAUGAUGAAGUCUUCAAGUAGCUCUCCCAUACCCAAUGUGGAAAGCCUAGCUUAUGUAUUCAUCUUCAUUUGUCCACCAUGUGAACAUCCACAAGAAUCAAGCAUGUAGUGCUCAGGAAUGCUUAUCUUCAUCUUGUCCUUGUUAGCACAUGAGCUUGUCCUUAUCAACACAUGAUCAUUAACAAUAGUUUCAAUGAUAUAUUCGUGCUGAUCCACUUGAACUUGCACACCACAUUCUUGAUGAUGAUCACCACUUGACGUCAUCCUUCAUGGGUUGUAUGAUAUCUUCCUUUUGACGCAAUCCCAUGGAAGCACACCUAACCCCCACAUAGGACUCUCACAAAGACCAUGGGUUAGUACACAAACACGUAAUGGACAAUGAUUACCAUACCAUGGGAUCAUCUGAGAUCUUGAUCAACCUAGUGUCUCUAUGACCAUUCUUCGGAUAAUACCUUGAAUACCAUCUUGGUCAUCAUAUAAACUCCUUGAACCCAAAAGAUGGACUUCAAGAAGUGCCUAUGGACAAAUCCUAUAAAUAUAACUUAAGGCAACCAUUAGCCCAUAGGAAUUGUCAUCAAUUACCAAAACCACAUAUGGAGAUAUAUGCUCUAACACCCAUUGAGGUAACCUAGUGACUAUUCGAAAAUUCUCCGUCUUCUUUUGCGAUUCAAAAAAGUUUGUCAAGGAGACUUGAUCAACCUCAUUGACGGAUUUCUUUCGAUGACCAUGAGAUGGAUGAAUCGAGGAGUCACAAACCUCUGUUCCAAGCUUUCACCUUCGGUUGCUUAGAAGAAAAAUGAUAGAUUUAGUUUAGUUUUCCCUGUUUUCUGCUUUUAGCGUCCCGUAGAAAAGUACCUCGAAAAUAAAAGUUCUCUGAACGUCCUCAAAAUCAAGUAUGAUUUUUUCUGGAAUUUUUGAAAAAUACUGAGACGGAGAGCUAGUCAGGGGGCUGCACCAGUGGGCCACAAGCCCUGAAGGUGCAGGCACCCCCGGCCCCGCCUACCAGGCUUGUGGAGCCCACGUGAACUCCCUCCACUCAUUAUAGCUCCCAUAUGCUUCUCCUACCUCCAGAAAAAAUUGUUUCGCAGCUCAAACCCGUGUUCUUGCUCUUCUUGCUGGGAUUUUCGAUCUCCUUGUGCAAAGCACCAUUCACCAAGCUGUUUUGGGGAAUAUUGCUCCUUGGUAAGUGACUCCUCCAUUGGUCCAAUUAGUUUUUGCUCUAGUGCCUUAUACAUUGCGUAUUUUUGCUGCCUUGGUGAUCAUGUUCUUGAGCUUUGCAUGCUAAUUUUAGCUGGUCCCAAGUAGUUUUGAUGCGUCAUAUGGCUUCUAGGCACUUGUGGGAGUAGUUGCUACGAGUUUCGUUGAGCUUUAUUCACUUUUCCUUAGAAUCACUAAAAUUUCAGAAAUUUUCAGAGAUAGAAAAGGGAAAAGAUGAGGAGGUUCUUAAGAGGCUCUUCAAGCCGUGACCCCAAGGAUGAUGGGAAUGAGAAGAAGAAACCCAAGUAUCCGGUCCCUCGAGUUGCAGAAGUUCGAGCGUGCGAGUGGCCAAGCGAUGUGUUCUUACGCGCCGCCGGACUUUAUGAGGACUAUUACUACUUGGUGGAGAACCCAGGCCUUACCGCCUUCGUUGAAGAUAAGUGUCUGCAAUACCUCCUCCUCACCAAUAUUUUCGUACAAAGCUUUAAUUUCUAUCCAAGGAAGAAUCCUCCUAUGGUUGAGUUCAAAUUAUAUGAUAUCCCCCAGCGCAUUUCACUCCAGGAUUUUUGCAAUGUUUGCAAAUUGCCUUUUGCUGGGGAUAUUCAUGAACCUCGUCCAUGGGACUUGGAGGCUUUCAUAGAUACAAUUGUUGUAGGAGAGGAGAGAGGAGUGUCUUGCGCUAGAGCUUCUAGCAUACAUUUUCCCGUGCUUCGGUACUUCUCAUUAUUUGUGGGAAAAUGUUUGAUUGGUCGUGGGAAGGCUGGGUCCCUUAGCUCCCCAGAUCUUGAGGUCUUGCGCGAAGCCCUUUAUAAUGAUAGAACUUAUAGCUUGGGCGCUAUAGUAGCUCAACGGUUGAACACGAACCGUUCUAAAGGCGUUGUCUAUGGAGGUAUCUAUGCUACUCGUCUUGCCAGAAAUUUUGAGAUACCUAUUAGACUGGACGAGGAAGAAGAUAUUCUUCUUUCUGAGAGAUAUCUAGAUUAUGAUAACAUGGUUCGCCAUGACUUUCUUGAUAGAGAUAUAAAUAGAAGGAUGAUUUAUAACCUGGUAUUUAGUCAGGGUACUCGUGAGACUAUUACUUUGCCUGCUCCUUCUUUGUUCAAUCUUCAUGCAGGCAGGUACAUUAUUAUGCCCUCGGACAUCUACGCAUAUUGGGGCAUAGCACAACCACACGUGCUCGUGCCCGAGCCACCAGUCGAGUACCAGACGCCAGUUUAUCAGUGGGAGCCAGAGGAGCUCACACAGCAGUGGCACCCUCAGUACACUCCGGAGUACCCCGGAGCUGGUUAUUUCCCUCCUUGGGAGUAGACCAACUUAGGCCAAAAUCCUAAGCUUGGGGGAGUACCUGUUUCUCACCGACUCUACAUUCUUGCUUACACUUUCACUUUGCUAGUCGGUGUUCACACUUUGCCACUCUAUUAUACAUGCUAGUUUAUUUUCUUUUUCUCGUUUUCUUUUCGUGUGUUUGUCUAGUUUGAGAAAACCCAAAAAAAAAUUAUUUUCUUCUUUUUUCUUGUUGGGAGUUUUCCCGUGUAAAUAGUUUUCUUUUUCUUUGGGUCAAGGUAGAAGACCAUGGUUACAAUGUUUAGUGGCUCUUGCAUGCAUAUCUGUUUAUCUGUCAAAGAGCCAUAUUACUUUGUCUUCUCCUUUGUGUUUGCCUGCAGAUUCCAGCUUAGUCCAAUGCACGAGCACUCUUAUUAUUGUUCACAUCAUUCGGUCGUGCAAGUGAAAGGCAAUAAUGACGAUAUAUGAUGAAGUGACUGAGCCUGGAAAAGCUGGUAUGAACUCGAUCUAUUUUGUUUUUGUAAAUAUGACUAUCUCAUCGUUCCUGAUUUAGCUUUGUUGUGAGAGAAACAUGUUUGCAAUGACAACUUAGAGAUCAUAGUUUCUGAUGCCAUGCUUAAUUAGUUAGGAGCUUAUAAUGGUUUGUCUUGGAUGCCAACAUGAAUUUUGAGAUGACUAUGAUGUAGUAUGAUAGGAUGGUAUCCUCCUUUGAAUGAUUCAAGUGGCUUGACUUGGCGCAUGUUUAUGCAUGUAGUUGAAACAAAAUCAACAUAGCCUCUGUGAUAUUCAUAAUCAUGGUGAUUUAUGUCCUACUCAUGCUUGCACUCAAUGUUGGUUAAUCUCAAUGCAUUUUGAUGACUGUUGUCGCUCUCUAGUUGGUCGCUUCCCAGUCUUUUGCUAGCCUUCACUUGUACUAAGCAGGAAUACUACUUGUGCAUCCACUUCCAUAAACCCAAAGUUGUUUCAUAUGAGUCCACUAUACCUACCUAUAUGCGGUAUCUACCUGCCGUUCCAAGUAAAUUUGCAUGUGCCACUCUCUAAACCUUCAAGAAAUAAUCUGUUUUGCAUGCCCGAACCGCUCAUGUGGUGACAAGGGGCUAUCAGUAUCUUCCAUGCUAGGCGUGUUAUCCUCUAUAUGUGUUUAUUCACUAUCAUUCACGAGAAAGGGGCUGGUAAUUGGAAUGCCCAGUUCCAUGCUCAAAUUGAAAAGAUAAUUACAAACAAAACUCCCCCUGGAUUGAUGUUGGUAUGGAUGGCACCAGAGGAUUCGGCUAGUCGUGGAGUGUGAUUGAUCGGUGGUGGGGGAGUCAAAACUUUACUUUUCUGUUUGGGAACCACCUGUAGCAUGUGUAGCGUGGAAGAUGGUAAGAACUCUUGGCCAUUGCGUUGACAAUGAAAGCGUGCCACCCAAAAUUAUUAUCUCUGUUUCAAAGCUUGAGCUCUGGCACCUCUGCAAAUCCAUGCUUUCCUCUGAGAAGGGCUUAUGUAUUUAUGUUCCUGUUGAGUCAUCCUCUUCUUAUAAAAGCACCAAUUAGAGAGCACCUCUGUCAUUUUUAUGCUUUGCUUUUAACUGUGAUUGAGUAUGACUGUGACUGGAUCUUCUUUGCCAUGAAUUACAAUGUUUAGUCAACCCUUGGUCUUUGAAGGUGCUCUGCAUUUAUGUUUUGCGGUCUCAGAAAGAGCUAGCGAGAUACCAUCUGUUCGUACUGCUUCAUGAUUGUUUUGAUUGAAGUGUUGACAUUUGAGACUUAUUAUAAUUUUCUCGCUAGUUGAUUAUGCCAUUGAUAUGAGUUUACCGUGAGACACAGAUGUCAUUUGCUUAUGUGGUUAGCUUGUGAUCUUGCUAAAAUUCUGGUUAUGAGUUACACAUAGUUGCAACAACAAGAUCAAACAGAGUUCGUAAAAGUUUUCUUUUGUCUCUUUGAGUUUGUCAACUGAAUUGCUUGAGGACAAGCAAGGUUUUAAGCUUGGGGGAGUUGAUACGUCUCCAUCGUAUCUACUUUUCCAAACUCUGUUGCCCUUGUUUUGGACUCUAAUUUGCAUGAUUUGAAUGGAACUAACCCGGACUAACGCUGUUUUCAGCAGAAUUGCCUUGGUGUUGUUUUUGCGCAGAAAUAAAAGUUCUCGGAAUGACCUGGAAAUUUACGGAGAAUUUUUGUGGAAUAUAUAAAAAAUACAGGCGCAAGAAUCAGCGGAGGAAGUGGAGCGUGGAGCCCACAAGCCCACCAGGCGCGCCCCCUGGCCGCGCCUGGCAGGCUUGUGGGGCCCACAAAACUACACCGCCUCCAAAUCCAGCUCUAUUUAGUCCCUUUCGUUCGGAAAAAAAUCAAGAAGAAGAGUUCAUCGCGUUUUACGAUACGGAGGCGCCGCCACCUCCGGUUCUUCCUUUGGAGGGCAGAUCUGUAGUCUGUUCUGGGCUCCGGAGAGGGGAGAUCGUCACCAUCGUCAUCACCAACCUUCCUUCAUCGCCAAUUCCAUGAUGCUCUUCACCGUUCAUGAGUAAUCUCAUCGUAGGCUUGCUGGACAGUGAUGGGUUGGAUGAGAUCUAUCAUGUAAUCGAGUUAAUUUUGACGGGGAUUGAUCCCUAGUAUCCACUAUGUUCUGAGAUUGAUGUUGCUACUACUUUGCCAUACUUAAUGCUUGUCACUAGGGCCCGAGUGCCAUGAUUUCAGAUCUGAACCUAUUAUGUUGUCGCCAAUAUAUGUGUGUUCUUGAUCCAAUCUUGCAAGUUGUAGUCACCUACUAUGUGUUAUGACCCGGCAACCCCGGAGUGACAAUAGCUGGAACCACUCCCGGAAAUGACCAUAGUAUGAGGAGUUCAUGUAUUCACCAAGUGUUAAUGCGUUGGUCCUGUUCUUUAUUAAAAGGAGAACCUUAAUAUCCCGUAGUUUCCAUUAGGACCCCGCUGCCAUGGGAGGGAUGGACAAUAGAUGUCAUGCAAGUUCUUUUCCCUAAGCACGUAUGACUACAUACGGAAUACAUGCCUACAUUACAUUGACGAACUGGAGAUAGUUACACAUAUCUCCAACGUAUCUAUAAUUUUUGAUGGUUUCAUGCUAUUAUCUUGUCAAACUUUGAUUGUUUUGUAUGCCUUUUAUAUAUUUUUAAUUCAGUGCCAAGUGUCAGUUCCUAUUUUUUCCAUGUUUUUGACCCCUUUCAGAGGAGGAUUUUGAACGGAGUCCAAACGGAAGGAAACUGCCAAAAAUAGUUUUUUCGGAAUGGAAAAAGAUCGGAGAGCCGAAGAAUCAGGGCAGGGGCCCACCAGGAACCCCCACAAGCCCUCAUGGCGUGGCCCCCUGGCUUGUGGGCUCCCUGAGGCCCCUUUGCCCUAGGUUUUGCGCCUAUAUAUUCCCUAAAAAUCCCAAAAAAAUCAGGAGAUCAUAGAAAGUACUUUUCCGCCGCCGCAAGCUUCUGUCUCUACAAGAUCCCAUCUGGGGCACGUUCUGGUGCCCUGCCGGAGGGGGGAUUCGGAUACGGAGGGCUUCUUCAUCAACACCAUGACCUCUCUGAUGAUGCGUGAGUAGUUCACCAUAGACCUACAGGUCCAUAGCUAGUAGCUAGAUGGCUUCUUCUCUCUCUUGGAUCUUCAAUACAAAGUUCUCCAUGAUCUUCAUGGAGAUCUAUCCGAUGUAAUCUUCUUUUGCGGUGUGUUUGUCGAGAUCCGAUGAAUUGUGGAUUUAUGAUCAGAUUAUCUAUGAAUCUUAUUUGAGUUUGUUCUGAUCUCUUAUAUGCAUGAUUUCAUAUCCUUGUAAUUCUCUUCGAGUUGUGGGUUUAAUUGGCCAACUUGAUCUAUGAUUCUUGCAAUGGGAGAAGUGCUUGGUUUUGGGUUCAUACCAUGCGCUGACCUCUCCCAGUGACAGAAGGGGCGGCAGGCACGCAUCGUGUUGUUGCCAUCAAGGGUAAAAAGAGGGGUUUUCAUCAUUGGUUUGAGUUUAUCCCUCUACAUCAUGUCAUCUUGCUUAAGGCGUUACUCUAUUCGUCAUGUACUCAAUACACUAGAUGCAUGGUGGAUAACGGUCGAUGUGUGGAGUAAUAGUAGUAGAUGCAGAAAGUAUCGGUCUACUUGUCUCGGACGUGAUGCCUAUAUGUAUGAUCAUUGCCUUAGAUAUCGUCAUGACUUUGCGCGGUUCUAUCAAUUGCUCGACAGUAAUUUGUUCACCCACCGUAUUAUUUGCUAUUUUGAGAGAAGCCUCUAGUGAACACUAUGGCCCCCGGGUCUACUUCACACCAUAUUUUCAGCCUUACAAUUUUACUUCGUUGCACUUUCCGCCUUCAGAUCUCACUUUGCAAUCAAUCUUGAAGGGAUUGACAACCCCUUUAUAGCGUUGGGUGCAAGCUCUUUUGUGUUUGCGCAGGUACUCUGGACUUGGCGCGAUUCUCCUACUGGAUUGAUACCUUGGUUCUCAAACUGAGGGAAAUACUUACUGCUCCUGUGCUGCAUCGCCCUUUCCUCUUCAAGGGAAAAACCAACGCAAGCUCAAGAGGCAGCAAAAGGAUUUCUGCCGCCGUAGCAAGGCACGGCACGUCCAUAAACCCAACGUGCAACAUCUGUGCACGUUUGGGUGCACGGUGCAUGUCAAGAAAACAGGGAUGGGCAUCUCCAAGCUGUCUGAUCGCUCGACACCCAUGAUCUUUGUUGGGUAUUGACGUCUGCUGUGAUUCCCUGGCAAUGACUCCAGAAAAGGGUUAAUCAUGCAAUCUCUGGCAUUAGCUAGACGAAUUCUUAUGACAACGAACCUUCUCCUGCAACGGCACCAGAAGAAUGCUGCUAGCACUCCCCGGCAAUGAAACUGGAAGAAUGUUGUUGAUGGCCCACCAGCGCGUGGGUUUGCAGCAGUUUUCGACGGUAGAGUAUUCAACCCAAUUUGUUGAUAAGCCCGUGAGGAGGUGAGAGUAUACUCUCAAGUAUUAGCAGCUGAAUUUGUCAGAUUCAACCACACCUGAAAGAUUAGUAUCUGCAAGAACAGUAGUAACAGCAAAGUAGUGAGUAACGGCAGUGUAACGAGCAAUAGCAGUGGCAAGGAACAUCAGUAGUGACAGAAGUAGCAAGUAGCAACAGUAGCAAGCGACAGUAGUAGCAGCAGCAGCAGAGCAAGACAAGUAACAGCAGUAGCAAUAGUAGUAGCAGCAGCAGAGCAAGACAAGUAACAGAAGUAGCAACAGUAGUAGCAGCAGCAGCAGAGCAAGACAAGUAACAACGGUAGUAGGACAAACUCGUAGGCAGUGGGUCGGUGAUUUGUUUGGACGAUAUUCAUCAUGCAACACUAUAACACGGAUAGAUAAGUAGCUAGCUCCCGUUCGUCAAUGUGAUGUAGGCAUGCAUUCCGUGUGUCGUCAUACGUGCUUAGGAAAAAGAACUUGCAUGACAUCUAUUGUCCAUCCCUCCCGUGGCAGCGGGGUCCAAAAGGAAACUACGGGAUAUUAAGGUUCUCCUUUUAAUAAAGAACCGGACCAACGCAUUAGCACUUGGUGAACACAUGAACUCCUCAAACUAUGAUCAUCACCGGGAGUGGUUCCGGUUAUUGUCACUCCGGGGUUGCCGGAUCAUAACACAUAGUAGAUAACUACAACUUGCAAGAUCGGAUCUAAAACACACAUAUAUUGGUGGCAACAUAAUAAUUUCAGAUCUGAAAUCAUGGCACUUGGGCCCUAGUGACAAGCAUUAAGCAUGGCAAAGUAGUAGCAACAUCAAAUCUCAGAACAUAGUGGAUACUAGGGAUCAAUCCCCAUCAAAACUAACUCGAUUACAUGAUAGAUCUCAUCCUACUCAUCACCGCCCAGCGAGCCUACGAAUAGAUUACUCACGAACGACGAAGAGCUUCAUGGAAUUGGAGAGGGAAGAAGGUUGAUGAUGACGAUGGCGACGAUUUCCCCUCUCCGGGGCCUAAGACGGACUCCAGAUCUGCCCUCCAGAUGAAGAACAGGUGGUGGCGGCGCCUCCGUAUCGAGAACGCGAUGAAAACUUCUCUUUUUAUUUUUUCUGGGACGAAAGACAACUUAUAGAGCUGGAGUUGGGGGCGGCAGGUGCCUGUGGGCCCCACAAGCCUGCCCACCGCCACCAGGGGGUGGUGGCGGAGCAGGGGCUCAUGGCCCACUGGCCCACCCCCUGAGGUGGAACUUGGCGCAGGUAUUUUUGAUAUUUUCCAAAACUGCUCACCGUAAAUUUUCAGGAUGUUUGGAGAACUUUGAUUUCUGCACAAAAAUAACACCAAGGCAAUUCUGCUGAAAACAGCGUCAGUCCAGGUUAGUUCCAUUCAAAUCAUGCUAAUUAUAGUCCAAAACAAGGGCAAAAGAGUUUGGAAAAGUAGAUACAUUGGAGACGUAUCAGGUAUGAGGAGGGAUGAAAGGCCUAUCGCGCGUACGACCCUGUCACUAAGAAGGUGCAGGUGACACGCGAUGUCAUCUUUGAAGAAGGACGGACAUGGACAUGGGGCACUCCGGACACAUCCGGAGUGGUGCCCUCGCUUGCCACUUUCACCGUGGUAUACACCACGGCUCAAGGACUCCACGAGGUGGACACUGGUGUUACCACACCUCCGGCACCACCUCAAGGAGGAGCCACUCCUGCAGCUCCAGGGACGUUGACUCCAGCACCAACCAGCCUGGCGAAAAGCGCUCCCUGCACUCCAGCCUCAGGGGGAGCGCCCUCUGAUACAGCUUCACCUAUGCAGGGCUCACCUGCAACGCCAACGGAUGCACCGGAAGCGGGUCGUCGGAUACGCUGGGCCUCACCACCAAGCCAAGAUGGGAAUCGCCGUGAUGCCGAUACGGGCGAGCUAUGCUAUCGGCGCCUAUACUGCAUCCUCGACAAGACAGAGGGUGAUGCCGUGCACGAGGCCAUGGAGCUCUUUCUCCUCAGCGCAGAGGACCCUGCCGACAUCGGUGAGGCCCUGAACCAUGUGGCCUGGAAGAAGGCCAUGGAUGAAGAGAUGGACGCGAUAGCGGAGAACUCAACCUGGCAACUUUCUUCUCUUCCCCGCGGACACAAGCCGAUCAGCCUCAAAUGGGUGUACAAGGUGAAGCGCGACCCCAACAGAAACAUCGUCAAGCACAAGGUCAGGUUAGUGGCCAAGGGAUACGCACAACGCGAAGGCGUAGACUUUGAAGAGGUUUUCGCGCCCGUGGCUCGUCUGGAGAUGGUGUGGCUCUUCCUCGCCCUUCCCGCACACUCCGGCUGGGAGGUUCAUCACAUGGACGUAAAGUCCGCUUUUCUCAAUGGCGACCUGGCGGAGGAGGUCUACGUCGCGCAACCGCCGGGGUACGUCGUUGAUGGCAGAGAAGGAGAGGUGCUGAAACUAAGCAAGGCUCUGUACGGGCUUCGUCGGGCACCAAGAUCUUGGUAUGCUAAGCUGGAUGAGACCCUCUGCACACUUGGGUUCAGAAGGAGCCCGCUAGAGCAUGUAGUCUACCGACGUGGAGAUGCCCAAUCCUAUCUUCUUGUGGGAGUGUAUGUGGAUGACUUGAUCAUCACAGGCACUGAUCCAACACACAUCGUCGAGUUUAAGGAUCAGAUGCAGAAGCUUUUCAAGAUGAGUGACCUCGGCCUCCUAAGUUACUACCUGGGGCUCGAGGUGACUCAGUCUAGAGGGGAGAUCACUCUAUGUCAAUGAGGAUAUGCAGAAAAGAUUAUUGAGCAAGCUGGAAUGGCCGACUGCAAUCGAAACAACACCCCCAAUGGAGUGCAGGCUAAAGCUGAGGAAGGAAGACGAUGCAAAACCUGUUGAUCCAUCCCUCUACUGCAGCAUAAUCGGCAGUCUAAGGUACCUAGUACACUCAAAGCCAGAUAUUACACAUGAUGUUGGAAUUGUUAGCAGAUUCAUGGAGAAACCCACUACAACACACUGGACAACUGUUAAGCAAAUCCUCAGGUAUGUGCAAGGGACUUUGAGCUAUGGAUGUCGUUAUGUCAGUGGAGGGAGUGAAUACAUUUUGGUAUACAGUAACAUUGAUCAUGCAGGAGAUGUAGUAUAUCGCAAGAGCACGUCAGGGCAUAUCUUCUUCCUUGGUCGCAACCCCAUCACCUGGAUUUCUCAGAAACAGAAAGUGGUAGUACUUAGCUCGUGCGAGACUGAGUAUGUAGCCGUGCUGCAGCAACAUGCCAAGGACUCUGGCUCUGCAGAUUGAUCUCAGAAAUAAAGGGAGAAGAUCCAGGUAAGUUCAGACUUCUGAUUGACAACCAGUCAGCUAUAGCUUUGGCAAAGAACCCUGUCUAUCACGAUCGCAGUAAGUAGAUCGACGUGAAGUUUCACUUCAUCAGAGGCUGCGUCGAGGAGGGACAGGUGGAGGUUGAUCAUGUUGGGACCAAGCAGCAGCUAGCUGACAUACUGACCAAGGCUCUCGGGCGAGUAAACUUCAUGGAGAUGAGGCAGAGGGUGGGUGUCAGUGAAAUCAUCAAAGACCAACAAGCUCAAGGGGGGAGAAAUGUUAGACUAAGCUUGUUGGAUACUUGGUUGUUUAGGUUCAGGUUUUCUUUCUCUGUUCGAAUAAUGCGUGUGCAUGGUGGAUGUGACCUGCGCAUGCACGUAGUAGUGGGGUGGAG